GAAUUGCCGGAGGCUGCUUUGUUUUAAGCUUAUCCAGUAUUUGACGCAAUGGGUGGUGAGGGGGCGGGGAAAUGUACAUCUGAGAAUCCGAGACCAAUCAUGUCAUGGGAGGUGCUGAGUGCUAAGCCUAUCUAAUAUUUGCUGCAAGGUGGGAGGGGGCGGGGAAAGAGUACGUCAAAGUGUCCGGGACCAAUCAGGUGCUAGAGACAGCUUUGUGCAAAGGUGGGAGGGGCGGGCAAAGUACGUCAAAGUGUCCGGGGCCAAUCAGGUGCUAGAGACAGCUUUGUGCAAAGGUGGGAGGGGGCGGGGAAAGAGUGCGUCAGAGUGUCGGAGCCAAUCAGGUGCCAGAGACAGCUUUGUUCUAGGCCUAACUAAUGUUUGAAGGUGGGAGGGGGCGGGAAAAAGAGUGUGUCAGAGUGCUCGGGGCCAAUCAGGUGCUAGAGACAGCUUUGUUCUAGGCCAAUCUAAUAUUUGCUGCAAAGGUGGGAGGGGGUGGGGAAAGUGCGUCAGAGUUCUGGGACCAAUCAGGUGUCAGAGACAGCUUUGUUGUGUGCGGCAGAGGGAGGGGAGGAGGACAGAGAAGGGAGGAGGGUGGGGAAGGAGUGUGUCAGAGUGUCCGGGGCUAAUCUGGUACCAGAGACGGCUUUCUUCUUGGCCUAGCCCCAUAGGCCUGAAUGGAAAAGAAAGUGCGCCAUAGAAUCUGGGAAUGCGAAGGUGGGGAAGGAGGCGGAGAAAUUUACGUCAUAGAAUCCGGGGCCAAUCAGAUGCCCGAGAUAUCUAUGUUUGCUGCAAAGGUGGAAGAGGGUGGGGAAACCGUGGGCCAAUCAGAGCCCAGAGUCCGCUAGUCAUCAGGGAAAGGGGCAGGUUACUUUUUUUUUAUUGUGCUUUGGGAAGGACUAAUUCAUUUAAUGAUUAAUAAUAAAAUAGGCUUAUGCUUCUAUUUACAACAUUGAUUUCAAUUACAUCAACACAGAGGUGAUGGCUCUGAAUUAAAUACAAUGCCUUUUGUGGCUUAAAAAAAUAUAACUCCAUGGACAGCCUUAAUGUGGUAAGAUUUAUGCAUUAUUAUAAUUUGGAAUGAAUGGGAAACAUUUUUGAAAAAAGUUAAACAAUUUUAAAGGGAUACUAUUUGUGAUUUUAAGUCAUUGUGAUGUUAAGAUACAUGCAAUAUAAUCGAAUAAAAAUGAAUAAAAAAUUGAAAGAGGGGAAGCCUUGGGAGGUUGGAACAGGGUGGGGCCUCAACCCAUAAUCUCGCAGUUGGAUUGCUUUUUUUUUUUAAUGUGUCGAAUUAUACAGUAUUGGGAUUCACACGAUACUUUUAAUAAUAACAAUAAUAUAUGCUUUGAUGUGAAAAAAUUAUUUCAAUAUAAUUUGUAUCAGCACAGGGGUGAUGCUCUGAAUUAAAACUCAGUUUCCGAACCACACAGCCAAAGAGGAAAGGUGAAAAUACAAUGUCAUGUAUUGCUACCAAAAAAAAAGGUAAUUAUUUCCACAGCCCUGAUCAGGUAAGUCUUAAAUGAUAAUAAAUUUGUUUUCAUUGAAAAAAAGAGUUAAGUAUAAAAUUUUUUAAAAAGAAACAAUAUUUGUGCUCUUAGCAAUUAAAAAAAAGGAUUGCUAAGGAAAAUAUGCAGUGUCAUAAAAUAAAAAUAAACUGAAAAAUGUCCAAAAAUCCAAGUAGAUCAAAGGUUGGUGUGACCUCUGGGAAGUUCAAGUCUUUAGAACAUGAAAUAUCUGGGCCAGAAGGUGCUUUUUCAAGCAGGAGAUGUUAGAUCUUGAAGAGAAUUUAGAAUAUGGAAGUUGAGAAGGCAGUCAGGGUUCUAAAUGUCUGAACUGGGAGUGACCAUAAAAAGCAGAAUAUCAGGCCCAGCUCUACUCUUAUUACAUAAAAUGGCUGAAUUGGGGUGUGUUUUAUAAUCUUGAGUGUCUAAUCUGAAAAGAUAUUGAGAACAGGGAAUAUCAGAAAUGGGGAAGGACCUUACAACUCAGAGAGCAGGAAAUCAGAACUGCCUAAGAAGCCAGAAUGACAGAGCCAAUGGGACCUUAGAAUAGAGAGUGUCAGAAAUUGGAGGGCCUUCAAAUAAGUGACAUCAGUUUUAAGAGCCUUUAGAAGGCAGAAUAUCAGAACUACGGGUAUCUUUCAAGCUAUAGAAUAUGAGAACUUACCUGAGCUGAAAGGGGCUCUAGACAGAAAAAUGUGAGGUAGGUGUGACUUUCCAAAACAGAAAGUGGGAGAUGGGCCUGGUCUAAUUGAAGAAAUUAUCAGAACCGUUGGGAUCUUAGACAGAAUUUCUGAGCUAGGAGACAUCUUAGCCUGCAGAAUGCCUGAGGUGGGUGGAGCCUUAGAAACCUGGAAUAUUGUGUCAGUUUGGAGGGACCUCAUAAGACAGGUAACGGGAGAUGGGCAGAAUCUGAGAACUCAAAUUCAGAGCCCAUAGGACCUUAGGACAUAGAAUGGUAGGCCUGGGAAUAGCACUAAAGAGGAGAAUCUCAGUUCUGGGAGGAGAUUUAGAAUACACAAUAUUAUAAGCUGGGGUGUAGUGUUUUAUAUUUGCUCAGCAUAUUAAAUUAUUGGAAAUGACUGGUUAAUUUAGAAAAAAAGAAGUAACAAAACAUAUUCAUGAAAUGAGAUGCAACAUGUACUUCACCAUAAUCUAUAUCAGCACAGUUUUGAUGCUCUGAAUUAAAAGUCAGGUUCUGAACCACAGAGACAAAGAAGAACAAUAAUACAGUACUUUAUCUGACUGCCCCAAAAAGGUAAUUUCCUAUAUGGUCCUGAUCAGGUAAGACUGCUGUUGAUAUUAAUGUUAUUGGGAAUGAAUUGAUUUAAUUUGUUGAAGGAAAUGCAAUAUACAAGUUUCCAAAGAGACACUGUUCAUGUUUUUAAAUCAUUGUUCAUUGUUCAUGUUUUUAAAGCAUUGUAAUGCUAAAAGACCUAUGCAGUGUAAUAAAAUACAAACAAAUAAAUGCAAGAGCAAAAAGCCUAGUAGAUCCAAACUAGGUGGAGUCUUAGAGCAGAGUGUAUUGUCCUAUGGAGGAUCCUGGAGCAAGCAGAGAAUAUCUAGCCUAUAAUGUGCCUUUUGAAGAGUGAAAUAGAAAAUAAUGGAAGAGAGUGUAGAAUAGAGUUUAGAGGUAGAAAAGUAGUCAGGGCACUGAAUAUCAGAAAUGUAAGCAGCCACAGAAAAAGCCAGAAUAUCAGACCAGACUGUAUUCUUGUAACAUAAAAUGUCUGAGCCUAGAGUGGGCUUCAAACCACAGAGAGUUAAAGCUAGGAGGGCCCUUAGAACAUGGAUUUUUAGUUGAGAAAGUGCUGAGAAUAGGAAAUCUCUUAGUUGCAAGAGAGGGGUUUUAUUUUUUUAUGUACUCAGUGGAUCAAGGUGUUAGGAAUGACAGUAUCAAAUAACAUUUUUUGGUAGGAGAUCAAACACUCAUUUCAAUAUAAUUUAUGUCAACACAGUGGUGAUACUUGGAAUUAAAAUUCAUGUUCUGAACCACACAGCCAAAGGGCACAGUGGCAACCCCAAAACUCCCCAACGAAGCCCAAACCAUACAAAAAUAACAUUCCAUGUAGUGCCUUCAGCAGGAAAGACUAUUUCUAUUGACUAUGGGUUUAAAGGGAGAUGCUUGCAAUGUACUAAAAUAAAAAUGAAUGUACAAAUUAAAGAGGGAAAAGAAAGCCAGAAUAUCAGAGGAUUGAUCAGGGGUUUAAGACAACAGGGUUGGGAGAUUCUUUAGAAUGUGAAAAGUCUGAUUUGGAGGUGACUUUCAAGAAAUUAAUAUUGGAGGCUGGUAAGAGUUUGGAAUCGUAAUUUCAGAAAUAGCAGAGACUUAAGAAUCUGAAACACAGAUUGACCGAAUUUGGAAGGGCUUUCCAAUGCACAGCAUUCAUAGCUAGGAAGAAGCCUUUUUUAAUGUGCUCAGCGGGGCCAGUGUAUUGGGAAGGACAGUGGGCAAGGGUAUUGGGAGGGACAGGUAAAUUAGAAAAAAUAGUAACAAUGUCUAUUUCUGCUAUGAGAUGCAAAAUUUAUUUCUAUACCAUUUCUAUACAAUUUUAAUGCUCUGAAUCAAAAGUCAGGUCCUGAAGUACAUCGCUUAAGUGGAAAGGUGAACAUACAGUGUCUUAUUUGAAUAUCCUUAUUCCCCUCUCCCCAUUUUUUUCUAAGCAUGGAUGGAUCAGGUAAGAUUGCUGUGGAUAUUAAUGUUAUAUGAUGCAGUGCAUAGCGUACUGGACCUGGAAUCGGGAAGACCUGAGUUCAAAUCUGGCCUCAGAAACUUACUUGCUGUGUGACCCAGGACAUGAAUUGGUUCUAUUUAUUAAAAGUAUAAAAUGUUAAAUAUGCAAGUGCUUUUAAAUCACUGUAUUGAUAAGUAUGUGCAAUGUAAUAAAUAAAAAUCAAUUAAAAGGAAAAAAGAAACCUAGACUAUCAGAGAAGGGAGGGGUUUAAGCUGACAGAAGUAUGAAAUUCUUUAGAACAUGGAAUGUGUGACUUGGAGGAGCCUUUCCAGAGAAUAUACUGGAGGUUGGAUAUUACUCAGAAUAGAGAACCGCAGAUGCGGGAGUGACCUAAGAAUCACAGAAUGUAAGAAUGGGGAGAGCCUUUAAAAACACAGAUUGUCAGAGCUGGGAAGACUGGAAAGGAGACCUUUUAAAAUUUUGCUCAGUGGGCCAAUGUUUUGGAAGGGACAGGGACAUUUUAAAUAACACUAAUGAUGUCUUUUUCUAGUAUAAGCAGCAAUAUUUAUUUUGAUUACAUUUAUAUCUGCACAAUUUUGAUGCUCUGAAUUAAAAGUUAGGUCCUGAACUACAUUGCUAAAGUGGAAAGGUAAGCAUACAGUGCCUUAUCUGGAUUACCCCCCCCCCUAAAGUCUGAGCAUGGAUCAGGUAAGAUUCCUGUGGAUUUUAAUGUUAUGUGAUGCAGUGCAGAGAGUGCUGGACCUGGAAUCCGGAAGAUCUGAGUUCAAAUGUGGCCUCAGACACUUACUUGCUGUGUGACCCAGGACAUGAAUUGGUUGUAUUUAUUGAAAACUAUAAAGCGAUAUGUACACAAGACUUAAAAGGCUACCAUUUGUGCUUUCACAUCAUUGUAAACAUGCAAUGUCAUAAAAUAAAAUAAAAGGAAAAGAAAAAGAAAAAGAAAAAGGCUCCUAGAAGGUCAGAGUGAGGUUGGGCCUUAGACCAGAGUACUGUGAGGUUGGGGGAGAACACUGUUUUUCAAGCAGAUGUUGGAGGUGGCAGAUAGCUUUCGCAAACAGAAAUUUCAGGGCUGAUAGGUCAGGCUGCACAUUGAAUGUCAAAACUGAAAGUGGACACAAGCCAGGAGAUCAGACCUGGGAGGAGAGCAAGUUGGGAGACAUCUUAGCAUCUGGAAUGCCUGAGGUAGAUGGAGCCCUAGAAACCUGGGAUGGAGAGGAGCCUUAGAAGACAGGAAAUAGGAGAUGUUCAGGUCCUGAGAACCCAAACUAUUAGAGCCCAUGGGAUCUUUGGAUAUAGAGUAUCAGGCCUAUGAAUAGGCCUAGAGAAGAGAAUCUUAAUGCUGGGAGGGGACUUAGUACACACACUAGCAAAAGCUGGAGUAUAGCGUUUCUUAUUUGCGCAGUGGGCCACAUUACAGGGAGUGUCUGGUUAUAUUAGAAGGAAGAAUAAGCAUAUUGAUGGUGUAAGAUGCAACACAUACUUCAACAUAUUUUACAUCAGCAGUUUUGAUGCUCAAAACUAAAAGUCAGAUUGGGACAGAGACAAAGAAGUACAUUAAUAAUACAUUGCCAUAUUUGGCUAACAAAAACCUCCACCAAGCCAUAAUUCCCUGUAUGGCCCUAAUCAGGUAAGACUGGUAUCAAUAACAACAUUUUAGGGAAUGAAUUGGUUAGAUUUAUUGAAGAAAUUUAUUAAAUAAUAUUAAAUUUAUUCAAGAAAAGUGUUAAGUUCAAGAUUCAAAAGGUACACCAUUUGUGCUUUUAAAUCAUGAAAUGAAAAGACAAAACCCUUGUAGAUGAGAGUUGGGUGGAGGUGGAGAGUAGGGGCCAGGCAGGUCCUUAAGUGUUGAAUGCCUGUACUGGCAUGUGCCUUUUGAGGGGUAAAGUUUAGAAUUGGAAGAACACUGGGGAUAUUGAAUGGCAGAAUUGCCAGUAGCCAGAGAAACCCAAAUGUCUGACCUGGGAGAGGUACUUGGAACUUAAAAUGCCUGAGCUGAAAGGCUCUUGAGAACAGUAUUAGAGGUCAAAGGGACCUUAAAAUUCAUACUGUGGGAAAUGGAUCAACGUAGGAGGACCCAGAGUGGCAGAGCUGGUGGGACCUUAGAACAUGAAUCCUUUAAUUCUAUAGGCCCUUUCCCAAGGGGAUCCCAGAAUUAUGAGAGGUCUUGGAACCCAGUGUCAGAGUUAGAACAGGGCUUAAACCACAGGAUAUCGGAGCAGGGGGGAACCCUUGAAAUAUAGAUUGGUAGAAUUAGGAGGGUCCUGAGAACACAAAUAUAGCUUGGAGGGAAUGCUUCUUGUUUUGCUUUCAUUUUUUUACUCUGGGCUCAGAUAUGGGGAAUGACUGGCCCAUUUAAAGAAUCAACAAUAUAUCUUAUAGCAUAAGAUGCAACAUUCAUUUCAACAUAAUUUUUGUCAGCAAAAUUGGUGCUCAGGAUUUUAAGAGUUGGGGCCUGAACUGCACAGAGGUAAAGGACAUAAAAAUACAGAGCAUCAUCUGGGAAACAAAAUUAAAAUGAUUUCUUUGCACUGUUUUGAUUGGGUAAGAAUACAAUUGAUAUUAAUGCUACUGAUCAUUAAUUUUUUAAUCUCUUGAAAACAAGCAUUAAGUAUGCAAUACUCAAAGGCAAUGUCAUUUGGGCUUUUAAAUCACUGCUUUUCUAAGAAAUAUGCAGUGUCAAAUUAUAAACAAAAAUCUCUCAAAGGUCAGAGCUACAUGAGGCCUCAGAAUAUAAAAUGUUUAAGAGGUUCUCAAAACAGAAUUGUAUGACUAAAGGAAAACUGAAAAUACAGUUACUUAUCUGAUUAAAUAAAAAGGAUCCAACUAAUUUAUGCAGUGUCUUGACCAUGUAAGACUCCUACUGAUGUUCAAAUUAUCAGUAUUAAAUACAAAGUAUUUUAAAGGUAUUAAUUACACAGAAUCCAAAAGCAACAUCUUUUGUGUUUUUAAAUCAUUGUAUUGUUGAGACCCAUAUGUGGUGUAACAAUAAAAGAAAGGAGGGGGAGCUACAGAUUCAGACCAGGAUGGGGUCUUGGCAUGUAGACAGUCAUGGAAUGGUAGGGUGUUUAGAACACAGAAUGUAUGACUGCUUGGGUGCCUUUUAACAGAUUUUAUUGGGCAUAGGAAAGAGCUUAGAACACAAGAUUUGGAGGGCAAGUUGAGCAUUUUAAAUUAGAACUGAGGAUUGGCACAGAAGCCAGAAUAUCAGACUUGGGAGGGAACUUAGGACAGUGUUUUUUAGAGCCCGGAACACCUGAGUUGGAUGGGGCUCUAGAACGUGGAGUAUCAGAUGGAGAAAAGCACAAGAUUCAUAAUACACAAAAGUGGGAGGUGUUCAGGACUAGAGAACAUGAAUUGGCAAGAUCCUAGGACACCUUAGCUCACAGAAUGUCAAGCCUAGGGACACAGAGAAGGGAAAUAAGAAAGCCUUUAAAAGACAGAAUGUUAUUACUAGAAGUGGCAGGAAACCAGAACAUUUCAGGGAUGGGACUGCCCUCAGAACCUAAAAUCCUGAGAGAAGUGGGGCCUUUAAAACAAUAGCAAAGAUGAGAAGGAAUUUUUCUUAAUCAUUGGGCUCAAGUUAGAGGUAUGCUCAAAGAGAUUGGUUUUACACAAUGCAGUGAUAUGAAAUACUCAUUUCGAUAAAAUUUAUAUCAGCAAAAUACUGAUGUUUCAGAUUAAAACUCCGGUCCUGAACCACACAACCAAAAGGGAGAACAUGGUGCCUUUUUUGUAACUUCUCCCUCCCUCCCCCCCAGAACCAGAAAAAAGUAUUGCAUGCAAUGCUUUAGGAGACUUAGAAUGCAAACUAUCAGGGCAAGAAGGGGCCUUAAAACACUGUAGCUGGGAAGGAGUUUUAUGUGCUCCGUGGACCAAGGCAGUGGAAGGGACAAGUUAAUUUAAAAAAAGUAAUAAGGCACACUUGGAGUAUAAUACACAACAAGGAUUUCAAUAUAAUUUCUCUCAGAAUCGUUGUGAUGCUCUGAAUUGAAAGUCAGGUCUUAGACCAUGCAAAGAGGAAAAGUAAGACAAAAAGCCUUAUCUGGCUCUAUCAAAAGUAGUAUACAUGGCCUUGGUCAGGUAAGAUUGCCCUCAUAACUGACUAUUUACUGAAAAAAUAAAGUGUUAAAUGGGGGUGUGUUUGUAAGUGUUUUAGCAAUGGGCUCUGGGGGAAAGUUGAUACGUGACACACUUUUACAUUUAAUUUGCCUUAGUAACAUUUUCUCUCACUUUUGUAGCUUUUGUUCAUUUCUGAGAUGUAAAUACUUACACUAAACAUUUUACAUGAGGCUUUCUCGAUUCAGCACAAGCUUGUUCAGAGUACACCAUUGUUAAGUAUGGCAGCAUUUCAUAUCAUUGGACAACUAAGAACCAUAUUUGAAGUCAUAAAGAUGAACAGAAAAAAUAAAUCCCAGCUGGAUGGGGCCUUAGAAUUUAGAAAUCCAGAGUUGAGCGGUGCCUUUUAAGGAAGAAAUGUGGGUGUGGGAGAGAUCUUAGACUACUAGGAGGCAUCUUAAAAUGGACAAUGACUAAGAUGAAGUUGUCUCUAGAACUGGGAUUGUCACGGUCUUCUAAUUACAGAGAUUGUCAGAACUUACAGGACAAUAGGAAACAAUUGAAUAUCUGAGCUGGGAGGAAUUUUAGAAACAAGAAUUACCUGGGAUGAUGGAAUCCUUAAAUUUAGAAGAUAAGAGUUUGGAGGGACCUUAAAACAGGAAGUAGGAGAUGGUCAUUUUGAGAACUCAAACUUUUGGGAUCCUGUGGAACAUCUGAACCCAAUGUCAAGCUUGGACAUAGCCCUAGAGAAGGAGAAUCUGUCCUGGAGGCAUAUUUACAACAGGGGAUAACAGAUCUAAGAGACCUUAAGAGCAUGGAAUAACAGAAAUGGUAGUAAGACCUCAGAGUAAGAGUUGAGAAGGAUCUUAACAUAUUGUAACAUUUGGAAGGCACCUUGGACCAGAGUUCCUAUCUAGGAUGGAGUGGGGUUUUUAAAUUAGUAGGCCAAAGUAUUAGGAUCAUUCACUUGUUUAAACAAUGUAACAAUAGAUGGUAUGGUAGAGAACAUGGAGGCAGCUAGAUGGCUCGGUGGAUAGAGUGCUGGGUUUGGAGUCAGACAUAAGCUAGAUGACUAGGCAAGUCACUUAAACUCCAUUUGCCUUAAUCUCCUGGACUCCAGCAUCUUUGCCAAGAAAAUCCCAUACGGUGUCUUGAAGAAUCAGAUAAAACUGAACAACAAUGCAAUAUCUAUCUUAAUAUAGUGUAUAUUAGCUCAGUUUUAAUUCUCUGAGCUCAAGUCAGAUCUUGAACCAUAGUGACAAUGCAAAAAUAUGCAAUACCUUCCCUGACCACCAACAGAAAAGUAAUUACAGUGCCUCUGUCAAUAAGACUGCCAUUUAUAGGCCUGUUGCUCUUAAUAAGUUGGUUAUGUCUAUUUGGGCAAAACUUUUUAUGUAAACAAUAUUCCAAGGAAACAGGUUUUAAAUAAUCAGAUUGCUAAGAAACAUGAGGUGUAAUAAAUUGAAAAGGGAAAAAAAACAUUGGCAGGUCAGAGCAGAGAGGGAGUAUUUAGAAUAUUGUUAUGGCUGGGAAGUCCUUUCCAAAGAGAAUGUUGAAAGUGGGAGAGAGCUCAGAAUACAAAAUUUCAGAGCUGCAAAGGGAGUUGAGACACUGGAAGAAUCAGGAGGAGACAGAAGCCAGAAUAUCAGAACAGGUAGCACUCUUAAAAUACAGUGACCCACCUAGGAAUCUAGAAUGCCUUAGCCGAAAGGAACUCUAGAACCUGGAAUAGCAGAAGUGGGUGAAACCUUAAAACUCAGAAAAGUAGGUUUUUGAAAAGAAUGCCUAGAGUAUUGAAUUCUGUGGACCACUUUGGUAUUUGAUCAUAACAUCAGGCACAGGCAUAGCUUUAGAUGGAAGAAUAUCAAAUCUAGAAGUGGUCUUAAAAUUUCAGAUUAUCAGGAGGGCUCUGAACAAAGAUAAAACUGGCCAGGAUUUGGGAAGCCAAUGAAUGGGCUGGGAAGCAGUUCUGUCUAUGUGUUCCAUAGGAUAAAGUAUUAGGCAGAACAGGUUGCUUUAAAAAAAUAAUGAAAUUAUGUGUUAUGACUCUGCAACAUUUAUUUCAAUAUAGUUUAUUCUGGCAUAGUUUUGAUGCUCUGGGUUAAAACUUGGGCCCUAUACCCCACAAAGAGGAGAAGUAAAAAACCAAAGCUCUGUUGGGGUAACCCCACCACCCAGUGUCUUAAUUAGAUAAGGCAGCUGUAUAUUUUUCGUCUUAUUAGCAGCAAAUUUCCUGUAUCAGAAAAGGAAUUUACUAAGUGCACACAAAUUCUCAGGGCCACCAUUUAUGCUUUUAAAACACUGCAUUGCUAUAAAAUAUACAGUAUUAUUUUUUAAAAAUGCAAAGUUGGUGGGGCAGCUAGGUGGCUCAGUGGGUUGAGAGUCAGACCUAGAAAUGGGAGGUCCUGGGUUCAAAUGUGGCUCAGACACUUCCCAACUGUGUGAUCCUGGGCAAGUCAUUUAACCCCCAUUUGCCUAGCCCUUACCACUCUUCUGCCUUGGAGAUAAUACACAGUAUUGACUCCAAGAUGGAAGGUGAGGGUUUUUAUUUUUAAAAAAUGCAAAGUCAAAAACUUGAGUUAGAAUAAGUUGGAUCUUGGAAGUCAUUUUCAAAGCUAGGAAGGCAUUCCAGAGACAGAAUGUCAGAAUGUGGAGUGAACAUCAAGCCAGAAUAUCAGAACUAUUAGAACAUAGAAUGUAUAAGCUGGGGGCCAUCUUGAAGUCCUGAUCACUUUAGCUAGAGAGGAGCCUAUGGGAAUGUCAGUGGGAAGAAUGCUAAAAUAAGCAGAAAGGGUCAAGUAAAUUGGAAUACAAAAUGUCUAAGCUGGAAGGUGUGUGGCAAACAGGUAUCAGAACACAAGAAGUAGGAGAUAGUCAAAGUUGGAGAACACAUGGGGUCUGUGUAUUGGAAUGCCAAGCCUGGGAGGAACCACAGAAUGUCAGAGGGACACUUAUAACAGGGAUAUCCGAAUAGGUAAGUCCUCCCAACACAGACAUUUCUGGAAAAGAAUUGUCCUUAGGGCUUUAGAACAUAAAUCAUAGCUGGGAAGGAGUUUUGAACUUUGAUUUUUAAAACAGCAUAUUUGUGGUAUGAUAUGCAAUAUUUUAUUUAGGAUUGGCACAGUGCUGAUACUAUGAAUGAAAACGUGGGUCCCAACUCACAUAGCCAAAGAGGAAAGGAGAAAGCACAGUGCCUAAUAGGGCUUUUUAAAAAGCCUCCAUGAGAAAAAAAUUUCCUACAGUUCCCUGACAGCAGUAGUAAGAAGGGGCCUCUGUUCAGGGAACAUCACUGAUACCAAGGAACCCACCACACAGCCAGUGAUGGUCAGAAUUGGAAGAAAACAUAGAAGCCGGACUAUCAGAACUUCAGAACACUGAGACCGUAGUUUGGCCGAAUUGUGGGGUGUCUUAAAAACACCUGACUUGGAUGAAACUCUAGCACCUGGAAUAUCAGAAGUGGGAGGGACCUUCUAAAACAAAAAGUCAGCCUGAGAAAAGAAAUUGUUGAAGCGAGUAGCAUUUGAGAACACAGGAUAUUUGACCUAGGAGUAGUCAUAGAGAGGAGACUGUCAUAGCCAGGAGGGCACAUAAAAGAAGGAAUGUCAGAACUUAGAAGGCACAAAAUGUCAGGAGGAGACUCUCCUUGAUGAGGGAGCUUUCACAACAUAUACAGAGCUGAGAGAAGAGAUCUUGGAACACACAAUAGUAUAACGAGCUUUUUUGCUUGUGUUCAAUCUGUGCUGCAAUCUUUAUUUUAAUGUAAUUUAUAACAGCACAGUGGUGAUGCUCUGAAUUAAAACUCAGGUCUUGAGCUUCACAGCCAGAGAAAAUAGUCCCUUAUCUGGCCCCAAAAAGAUUCUAUUCAAUUGCUUGAUGAGGUAAGAUGGCUACUGAUGAUACUUUUAUUGGCAAGUUGCCAGUAAAAAAGGAUUUGAAAAGAUCAUCUGUGCUUUUAAAAUACUAUAUUACUAAGGCACAUAUGAAAUGCAAACAAACAAAUAAAUAAUCCCUAGAAGGCUAGAACAGCCCUGAUACAUCCAGUGUCUGGGCUGGGAGGAACCUUUCAAGGAAGGAAGUUGACAUUGUGAGAAAGUUUAUUUUUCAAUGCACUUUGAACCUACAUGGGAUGUCAGAGCUAGGAAAGCUCUUAGACCAAGUGGUGUAGAUGGGAGAGGUAUUAUUAGAACUUCAAGAGUCAGACCUGAGAACAUAAAACAUGAUAGUUGUUUAAGUGGUUUUGAUUAUGCUGAACACAUCAGAGUAUGGAAGAGAGAUAAAAUUUAAAAUAAUAAAGGAUAUUCAUAGUAUCUGUGCAACAUUUCUUUUCAUGAAAUUUGUAUCAGCACAGUGAUGAUGCUCUGAGUCAAAACUCAGGUCCUUCACCACACUGCCAAAAAAGGAAAGGUGUAGGGGCUCCCUGAAAAGAAAAACAACCCCCCCCACUAACUCCACGAAGUAUCCUAACUUGGGGAAACUGUUGCUACUAUAAACUAUUAGAGGUAAUUCCUACAAGGCAUUAAAAGAACACUAUUUUUUAAAAUUGUUUUGGUUAAGAAACAUUUGGUAUAAACAAUUGAUAGAAAAAAAUACCCUAAUUUGCCACAAAAGAUUGGAACUUGGAAAACCUAAUGUCAAGAUGGGGAGGGUCCUUAGAUUCUUUAGAAUUGAGGCAACUGGAGGAAGUCGGGAAGACCAGAGUUCAAAUCCAGAAUCAGACACCCAGUUUCUUGGCUAUGUGACCCUGGAAACGUCACUAUCUGCCUCAGUUUCCUCAAUGCAAUUAAUAAUAGCACUUACCUUACUGGUUGUUGUGAGAACCAAAUGGAAUAAAAUGACAUAAUUAAUAUGUCUCAAGCAUGUGGCAGAGUGACUGGCACAUAGUAGUUAUAUACAUAAUAAAUGCUUAUUCCCUUUCCAAGAAUCAGGAAUGACUGGGCUGAGAGGAACCUUUCCAGGGAGAAUGCUGGAGAGAAUUUAAAUGCAGAAUUCCAAAGCUGAGAGUCCUAUCUAGGCUUCUAAUGUCCUAGAACAGGAAGUGGUCAAAGAAGUCAAACUAUCCAGCCUGGGAGGGUACUUAAAAUGGAGAUGGUCUGAGGCAGGAAUUGUUUUAGAAUCAAGAAUGCAUGUGAUGGUUGGGGCUCCAGAAUCAGGAAUAUCAGAGGGGGGGGAUGAUAACAGAGUGGGAGAUGGUUGGAGCCCCAAAGCACACAUUAGCCAAGUCUGUGGGGUCUUACAUUAUAAAUAGCGGAGUGCCAGGCUAGGAGAGCUCUUAGACCACAGAAAGUCAGAGCCAGGAGGGACCUUAGAAUCUAGAUCUUCAAACUUGUGAGGUGUAUCAAACUCCAUAGAAAAUAUUUUGAUUUAGAAAGCCACAAAAUAAUCUCUCUGCUGGGUUUCAUUUUUAUUUUAUUUAGCAUUUCCCAGUUACAUUUUAAUCUGGCUGUGACUGCACUCAGGAAUUUGCUGACCUGAGUUCCAUACUUCUGUUUUAGAACAUACCAAACCACUGCUAGGAAGGAUGGUUUCUGGCUUCAGGGAGGGGCAAAUGGGCAGUAUUCAUUGGGUGGAAAUAAUAGACUAGUCAGGUUAAUUUGUAAAAGAAUUCAAAUGGAUAUACUAUGCAACUAAAUGUUGUUUGAAUAUAAUUUAUAUGGGUGACCCUCAGAAUUAAGAUCAGGUUCUGAACCUUAUAGCCAGAGAAAAGGUGAAAAUAAACUGUCUUGAAUGACAAAAAGCAAACCAAAACACCCUAGUAAAAAAGGAAUUCCACACAGUGCUUGGGCUCAGUCAGAUCUAUAUCGAGACCACCAUUAUUGAUGACGAAGGCUAUUUAUUAGAAACACUCAGGAUUGGAUCUAAAAGAUAUGUUAUUGGGCUUUGAAAUCAUUGCUUUACGCUACAAACGUGUGGUAAAGAAAUCUUUUGAAUGAAGUGAAAGAAAGACAUUGCUGGAAGGCCAAAACUGGCGAGGGUAUUGGAACUGAAACUAUCCAAGUCCUUAGAGUCUGUAGAAUGCCGGGGCCAACAGAAAAUGUUGGAAGGGGAUUUAAAAUCCGGAAUUUCAGAGCUGGGAGUUCAUUCUAGAUGCUGACUCCAAGAAGGGAAAUUUGAAAUACGAGUCCAAAUAUCAGGUUUGCUAGAAUAAAGCUCUUCCGAGACCCGAGGCAUCUUAGAAUCAAAGUCUGAGCUGAAUGGGGUCCAGAAUCUAAUAAUAUAGGACCUGGGAGAGGCCUUAGAAGACAAUGGCAGAUAGGCUGAGCUGGUGGGAUCUAGGUGGACAGAGGACAAGCACAGACAGUGAAGCCUGGGAGUGGCCAUUGGUAGGAAAAUGUUAGGGUUCUGAAGGCUCUUAGGACAGAUAUACACUUUUGCAUUUUCCAUAUUUCUAUAUAAUUUCUGUACCAUGACAAAAUAUUUUGUUAUUAAAACCUAGGACCUGGGGGCAGGUAGGUGGCUCAGUGGAUAGAGAGCCGGGCCUGGAGACAGGAGGUCCUGGGUUCAAAUUUGGUCUCAGACACUUCCUAGCUAGGUGAUCCUGGGCAAGUCACUUCACCCUCAUUGCCUAGCCCUUACUACUUUUUUGCCUUAAAAGCAAUGCUUGGGCCUUGAAACAACACAGCCAAAAGGAAAUUGGGGAAAACAUAGUGCCCUAUGUGGCUUAAAAAAAGGGAAAAAAUGGGCAGAGUAAUUCCAUGCAGUGUCUUGAUCUGGCAAGACAUCGAGAUUAUUAUCGGUAAUGAAUGACAGAUCUUAAUUAAAGACAAUUAGGUGUUAAGUACAUGGAGCAGCUAAGUGGUGAAGUGAACAGGGCACCAAACUGGAAAUAAGUUAGACUCUUCCUGAGUUCAAAUUUGGCUUCAAGACAUACUUUCUAGCUGUGUAACCCUAGGCAAGUCAUUUAGCUCUGCCUGAGUUCCUCUUAUAUAAAAUGAGCUGGAGAAGGAAAUGGCAAAGCACUCCAGUGCCUUUGCCAAGAAAUCCCCAAAUGUGAUCAUAAAGAUGUGAACAUGACUGAAGAGCAAUGAAACAACACAUAGGUUUUAAAAGGGAUGCCAAGUUGUGCUUUUAAAAUGUUGUAUUGCUAAGAUUCAUCGGGAGUGUGUUAAAGUAAAUGUUAAGAAAUCCCUAGAAUGUUGGCCAUGGGAAGAUUCUAGAUGUCUGGGCUGGAGAUACCUUUCAAAGGAAAAUGUUGAUGGUAGGAGAGAGAGCUCAGAAUAGGGAAUUUACGAGCAAGAGAGCAGUCCUAUCUCUGAAGGCUAUAGAGACCACAGAAAAACCAGAGUAUCGGAAGUGGGAGAGCAUUUAGAUCAGUGCACUUGUGAGCUGAGAGAUAUGUUGGAAUCCAGAAUGCCUGAGCUCUGUUGGUUCUAAGAACCUGGAAUAGCAGGAUUCAGAGGACCUGAUAACAUAGAAAGGGAGAUGGUCAGAGCUGGAAGGGCACGUAGAACUAAGUACGUCAGAAGUAGGAUGGGCAGUUAGGUGACACAGCAGAUCUUCCUGAAUUCAAGUCCAGCCUCAGACCCUGGGCAAGUCACUUUUAUUUUAACCCUGGUUGCCUCAGUUUCCUCAUCUAGAAAAUGAGCUGGAGAAGGAAAUGGAAAACUGUGUGAGUUUGGGCAAGCACUUCACCCUAGUUGCCUUGGUUCUCUCAUUUGUCAAAUGAGCUGGAGAAGGAAAUGGCAAACCGCUCUUGUAUCUCUGCCAAGAAAACCCCAAAUGGAGUCCCUGAGAGUUGGACAACAAUGAGAGGAGCCCUAAAAUAACAAUAGCAGUGAUGAAAUGAACCUUAGAAUAGAGGACUUCUGAUCUGUGUGCUGUAGUGGAAAGGAUUUUGAUCUUUUGAAUGCACUCAGUGGGUCAGUGUCUUGGGAUCCACAAGUAAAAUGUAAAAGCAAUAUAUGGAGAUGUAAAUGUGCAACAUUACUUUUCACAUCAUUUAUUUCAGUGCGGUGGUGCAGCUCUGUAUUAAAACUCAGGGAAUGAAUUAAUAGCCAAAAGGGAUUGGUGAAAAAUGCAGUGCCUUAUUUGGUUCCAUAAAAGAAAAAAAAAACGGCAAAAAGUAAUUCUGUUCAGUGCCUUGUUCUGCUCUGUGGUGAAUCUGGAUUAAAACUCAGGUACUAAAUGAAUUCAGCCAAAGAGUGAAAGGGGGGAAUGCUGCCUUCUAAGGCUCUAAAAUACGGACUAAUCAGGCAAAACAAGUUAUCCCAACCUGUGCCUUGUCUGCUCUGUGGUGAACCUUUGUAUUAAAACUCAGGUACUAAUCCAAUAAUAACUAACCAGGAAAAGGGGGAAUGCUGCCUUCUAAGGCUCUAAAAUAUGGACCAAUCAGGCAAAACAAGUAAUCCCAAGCUGUGCCUUGUCUGCUCUGGUGAUCCUUUGAAUUACAACUCACUCAGGUACAAAUCCAAUAUAUCCAAAGAGGGAAUGGAGGGAAUUCAGUGCCUUCUCAGGCUCCAUAAAGCGGAAAAAAACCGGGUAAAAUAAUUCCAAGCAGUGCCUUGCUUUGCUCUGUGGUGAAUAUGGAUUAAAACUCAGGUACUAAAUGAAUUCAGCCAAAGAGUGAAAGGGGGGAAUGCUGCCUUCUAAGGCUCUAAAAUACGGACUAAUCAGGCAAAACAAGUUAUCCCAACCUGUGCCUUGUCUGCUCUGGUGAUCCUUUGAAUUACAACUCACUCAGGUAUUAAACCAAUACAGCCAACAGCAAAAGAAAAAAAAUGCAGUGCCUUCUCAGGCUCCAUAAAAAGGAAACGAAACGGGUAUUAUUUCCAUGCAGUGCCUUGAUUUGCUCUGGUGAUCCUUUGAAUUACAACUCAGGUACUAAACCAAUACAGCCAAAGAGGAAAAGGGUGCAGUGCCUUCUCUGGCUCCAUAACUAGGAAACAAAACGGGUAUUAUUUCCAUGCAGUGCCUUGAUUUGCUCUGUGGUGAACCUUUGAAUUAAAACUCAGGUACUACUAAUCCAAUAAGAGGAAAGAGGGAAUGCUGCCUUUUAUGUCUCUAAAAUAAGGAAAAAUCAGGCAAAACAAGUAAUGCCACAUAGUGCCUUGUUCUGCUCUGUGGUGAUCCUUUGAAUUAAAACUCAGGUACUAAAUCAAUUCAGCCAAAGACGAAAAGGGGGAAAUGCAGUGCCUUCUCAGGCUCCAUAAAGAGGAAACAAAACGGGUAUUAAAAUUAUUUCCAUGCAGCGCCUUGAUUUGUGCAGUGGUGCAGCUCUGUAUUAAAAAACUCAGGGACUGACCCAACAUAGCCAAAGGGGAUUGGUGAAAAUGAAGUGCCUUAUUUGGUUCCAUAAAGAAAAAAAUGGGCAAAAAAGUAAUUGCAAGAAGUGCCUUGAUCAGAUCCUUGGUUACUAGGGAGUGUAUGUCACCCACAACAACUUUUGAAACUGCAUUUAAAAGGGAGCACCAAGAAUGCUGAAUGUCUGAUAUCAAAAUGAUCUAAAUUUACAGAGGUCGUGAAUCACACAAAGAGGAAACGUGAACAUACUGUGCCUAGUCUGGCAUCCCCCCCCUAAAAAAAAGAAAAGAAAAAACCCGACCAAAAAGUAAACCCAUGCAGUGCCUUGAAGGGUAAGACAGCUGGUGCUAUUCCUAUUAUUCUUAAUGAAUGGGGAGUAUUUAUUGAAAAAAAAAUAAGGUAAGUUCACAGGAUUUAAGUGGGGCAAUAUUGGGGAUUUUAAAUAAUUUUAUUUUUAAAACUUGUAUCCAAAGUAAUAAAACUGAACCAAAGAGAAGGUAAGCCCCCAUUCUACCCCCUAAAAACAAAACAGAAAACCUCUAGACUAUCAAAAAAGGGAGGAGUCUUAAGAAUACAAAAUAUCAGGGCUGGGAGAAUCCUUAGAAUAUGGAAUGUCUGGACUUUGAAGAGAAUAUACUGGCAGCUAGAUAGAGUUUAGAGUAGAGAAUUUCAUCCCUAGGAUAGUAGUCAAGUGACUCUGAAUGCUGGAAAUUGAAAUAGAAGCCAGAAUAUCAGACCUGAGAGAGACUGUCCAAUUUGGAAUCUGAAAGAUGGGAGGGAGCUGAAAACAAAUCAUUUGACCUGUGGGAUGUCAGAACUGAGAGACUGAGAGGGAAGGCUCAUAAAGCAAGGAUGAGCAGAUCUGAAAUGGUCCUGAGAACAUUCAAUAUCAUUCCUGGGUCCAGGGUAUUGGGAGUGUCAGGAACAUUUCAAAGAGAGCAACAAAUGAUCUUUAUGGUAUGAGAUGCACACUUAUUUACAGUAUAAGUUAUAUCAGCAUAGUGGUGGUGCUCUGAAAUCAAACUGAGAUCCUGGUAUACACCUUCAAAGAGGAAAGGUGAAAAUGCAAUGCCCCCACAAAACAGCCCUGAAAAAAUCAUUCCGUGCACUGACUUGAUCUGCUAAGGCUGCCAGUAGCAUUCCAAUUAUUGCUAAUGUAUGGAGAGUAUUGGAAAAACAAGGUAAGUAUGCAAGAUUUAGAAGUGAUGUCAUUUGGGAUUUUAAGUUAUUGUUAAGUUACAUAGAAGGCAGUAAAAUAAGUUAGCUAUAGAAAUACCCUAGAAUAAUAGAAGAGGGAGGAACUGAAGAAUAAGUGGACAUGCCUUUGAAGAGAAUAUAUUAGAGGACAGAUACAGUUUUGAACAUAGGAUUAUAAAACUGGAAGGGCAAUCCAGACUUUUAAUUGUCAAGUUAGGGAGUUGGCACAAAAACCAGAAUACCAGACCUGGGAGAGGAUGUAGAACAGAGAAUGAAGGAGCUUGGAGACAACUUAGAAUCAAGAAGUGUUGAGCUGGAUGGGGCCGCAGAACUUGGAAUAUCAACCAUCGGGGGAAACCUAAAACAAAAGAGCAGAUAAGAGAGGGUGAGAGUAUAAAAAGAUUGAUUCAGAGGGAGCUAAGUAUACAUAGAAGGUCAGGUUCAAGAGUGAGGCCACAGAGAAGAGAAAGACAGAGCAGGCCAGGCACAUGGAAAGCCCUUAGAAAACAGAACUAGGAGAGCCAUUCAUAUCUUAGAAUUCAGAGCUUAGAGGUCUCUUGGGACAUAAAUUGGCAAAUCUGAAAUGGUUCUGAACAAUAACAACAUUUGGAGGGAGUUUUGCUGAUGUACUCAGGGCUAUGUCUAAGCAUGGGGUGGGUCCAUUUGGACAACAUAUAUUUAUAUGUUUGAUUUUAUUUAUAUACGUGUAUAUUUAUGUUAUGAUGCAGCAUAUGUUUCAGUAUCAUUUAUAGCAGCACAGUGGUGAUGCUCUGAAUGAAAAUUCUGAUCCUCAACCAUAUGGUCAAAGGGAAAGUGAUCACUUUAUCUUGCUUAGGGAAAAAAAAAACCAUUGAAAAAGCUCUGACAAAAAUAGUCAUUCCAAUGUAGUGCCUUAAUCUGGUCUGACUGCUACUACUCUUCCCAUUAUUGAUAAGGAAUUGGGGAGUGCUUAGGGAAACAAAGAAGGUGGUAAGUGCAGAGGAGUCCAAAAGCACACCAUUUUCUCUUUCUAAAUCAUUAUAUUGAUCAAUCUCAUAUGCAGUGUAAUAAAGUAAAAAUAAGUAAUUGAAAAGAAAAAAAGCCUGAAAUAGCAUAGCAAAUUAUGGUGAGAGAACAGAAUUCCAGGACUGAGAGGGAAAGACCCUAGACCAGAGUGUCUGGUGUGGAGGGGACUUUCUAGGGAGAAUUGUUUGUGAGGUCAGAGAGAAUUUCAGAGUAGGGAGGGCAGUCAGGGCUCAAAAUGAUAUGCCUGGGAGUGGACAGAGAAGCUAGAAUAUCAGAGGCCUUCAAACACUGAAUAUCAGAACUUGGAGGAAAUAAUAGAGUCAAGAAUGCCUGAAUUCGAUGAGGCCCUGGAGCAUCUAAGCUAGGAAGUCCCUUAGGCCAAAGGGACCAAACAUUGGGAAUCUUCCCUAAACCAGUUUAAAAUGGAAUUUCGAAAGGUCCUGGGUUCAAAUUUGGCUUCAGAUACUUCCUAGUUGCAUGACCCUGGGAAAGUCACUUAACCCCAAUUGGCUUGCCCUUACCAUUCUUCUGCCUUGGAACUGAUACUUGGUAUUGAUUCUAAGAUAAAAGUGUAAAAAACAAUCAUGGAAUUGGGAAAUACUUAACUAAAUUCAUAAAAAUUCAAUAAAACAGAUAAUAUUGCAUUUUAAAACCGGGUCAGUAUAUGCGACCGUCAGAGAUCCUUUGGUAUAGGUUAGAGGGCCUCAUUUCUACUGAGUUUGGCACCACUGCAAACCCAAAUUGUCUAAGUCACUGGAAUCUUAGCGAAGCCAAUGCCAGAACUGAGAGUAGUCCUAGAGACAUGGAUCAGAGUAGAGAGGCACUAAGAACAAGAGAGCUUCCUUAAGACCACACAAUGUCAAAGUUGGCAGAGCUCAGAGAAAAGAAAUUUCAAGCCAUAAAAGGGGCCUUAGAACACAUAAGGUCAUAGGUGGGAAGGAGGUUUUGUCUUUAUGAUUUACCCUAUGAGCUAGGUAUUGGGAGGGACAGGUAAAUUGAUUUUGAAAAAUACAACGUAUAUUUAUGGUAUGAGAUGCAACAUAUAUUUCAAUAUCAUUUAUAUGAGCACAAUUGUGAUACUCUGAAUUAAAACUCAGGUCCUGAACCACACAGCCAAAGAAGAAAGGUGAACAUACAGUGCCUUAUCUGGCUAAAAAAAAUGAAAAGAAAAAAAUGAAAAAAAAAGUAAUUACAUGCAUUGCCAUGAUGGGGCAAGACUGCUGUUGAUAUUACUAUUAUUGUUAAUAAAUGUGGAGUGUUUAUUGAAAAACUAAGGUAAGUACACAGGAUUUUAAAGAAACCUCAUUUGAGAUUUUAAAUCAUUGUAUUGCUAAGACAGGUAUGUACUCUAAUAAAACUGAAUAAGUAAGGGAUAAGAACAAAACCCUGGGAAGAACAGAGAAGGGAGCGGCCUUCCAAUGGAAGGUAUCAGGUCUUUAGAGCCCAGAAUAUCCAAGCUUGGAGUUGCCUUUCUGGACAACAUAUUGAAGAGAAUUUAAAAUAGGGCAUUUCAGCCCUAGGAAAGCCGUCUGGGCUCUGAAGGUCAGAAUUGGGUGUUGACAUAGAAGCCAGCCAGAACAUCAGAUCAAGAAGGGGACACAGAGGAGCAUGGAGGCAGAUGGGGCCCUGGAACCUGGGAUUUCAGAGGUGGAAGGGUGCAUAAAAUAAAAAAUGUGGGGAUGGCUAGAGACUGAGAAGACACAGUAUAAGAGGCUUCAUCUUUCCAUGGACAAUGGUGUUGCCUGCAUCAGAUAUCCCAAAAGAAGGGAACUCCAUGAACUGGCUUACUCAGGUCAGACUGCUGUUGACAUUGGUGGUAUUAGUAGUGAAUGGGGAGUACCUAUGGAAAUAAUAAGGUGUGGAGAGUAUAGUAUAGCAUGACAGGAAGUAUAAAGACUAAAGUAUAAUGUAGAGUACUUUUAAAGGACCCCAUUUUUGCUCUGAAAUCAUUCUAUUGAUAAAGAGACAUUCAAUGUAAUAAAAGGACAUGAAAAUGAGAAGAAAAAAGUCUUAGAAUAUUAUACUGGGGUGUGGCCUUAUUUCAUGGAAUUCCAGGGCUUUGAGGGCCUUCAAACAUAGAGUAUCUGGACUGGAAUAUGCCUGUAGAGAUGAACUAGGGUUCUGAAUGACAGAAAUUGGAGUUGAGAACAUAGAAGCCAGAAUAUCAGACUAGGAUAGUCACUUCGAACACCCAUUGUCUCAGUUUGGAGGAAAUUUCAACAGCAGUGCCUGAAUGUGAUAGGGCCCUGGAGCCUUGGAAUAUCAGGGUUAGAGAGACCGUAGAUUCCAGAAAGUGGCAGAUGAACAGAAUCUGAAAACACAAAUUGUGCAAAUGAGUGGGACAUCAGCCAAGAAAGGGUCAGGUCUAGGAGAAGCCAUAGAGAAGAGAAUGUCAAAACUGGGAAGGAAUUUGCUUUUUUAAAUUUAGACCUUCAGUGAACAACAUAUUCAGAGUGAAAGAUAAAUUUUUUUUUAAAUCCUUAUCUUCCCUCUUAGAAUCAAUACUCUAUAUUUGUUCCAAGGCAUAAGGACUGGGCAGUGGGGGUUAAGUGACUUGCUUAAGUGACCUGAGGCCAGGUGUGAACCUAGGACCCUCCAAUCUCUAGGUCUGCCUCUCAUCCACUGAGCCACCCAGCUGCCCCUGAAAAGUUAAUUUUGAAAAAUAAUAAAGUAUUUUUAGAGAGCUAAAUAUAACAUAUUUCAAUAUAACAUAUCAAUGCAAUAGUAAUGCUGAAAAUUAUAACUCAGGUCCUGAACCCUGCAGACAAACCCUGGGCCUAAACCCCUUCAAAACCAAACCAAAAAGGGAAGCGAAAAAAAAUCAACAACAAAGUAAUUCCAUACAGUGACUUGAUGAGGUAAAAUUGCUAUUGAUAUUACUAUUAUUUUUAAUGAAUGGAGACUCUUUAUUGUAAAAAAAAAACUAAGGUAAGUACCCAGGAUUCAAAAGGAUAACAUUUAUGAUUUUAAAUCAUUAUUUUGCUAAGACGUAAUAUAAUGUCAUAAAAUUAAACAAAUGAAAAGAAAAACAUCUUAGAUUGUUAGAGGAGGAAGCAGGCUUAGAACCUUGACUGUCUGGGCUUGGUGGUAUAUUUCAAGAAAAUACAGUGGAGGUUGGAUAGAAUUUAGAAUAGAGAAUUUCAGCAUCGAGAUAGCAACUCUAGGUAUGACUGUCAGAACUGGGAGCUGAUAAAGAAGCAAGAAUAUGAGACUUGGGAGGUCAUGCAGGACAUAACGUAUCUGACUUUGGAGGAAAUUCAGAAUUCAGAAUACCAAAGCUAGACGGGUUCCUAGAACCUGGAAUACCAGAGGUAGAAGAGACUCUAAAAGACAAAAUGGGAGUUGGCCUGAGCCCAAGGACACCAAUUGUCUUGAGUCAGUGGGAGCUUAACACUCAGAAUAUCUGACCCAAGACUAACUAGAGAGAAUGUGAAGGCAUAUGGAACAAGGGCAAGCUAUAAUUUUGAUCAUCACAAUGGGAAUGUUCUAAACUAAAAUUCAUGGCCUCAAACCCAGUCAGCAAGAAAAGGUUAAAAUAUAGUGCCUAACCUGUCUCCAAAAUAAAAGAAUGAAAAGAAAAAAUAACACACCAAAAAAAGUAAUCUGAUGCAGUGUUUUGAAGGGACAUGGCUGUUGUAGAUAGAACUGUUGUUAUUAUUAUUUUUUUUUAAACCCUUGCCUUCCAUCUUAUGAUCAAUAUUAGUUUUGGUUCCAUGGCAGAAGAGCAGGAAGGAUUAGGCAGUGGGGGUUAAAUGACUUGCCCAGGGUCACACAUCUAGGAAGGAAGUACCUGAGGCGAGAUUCAGAACCUAGGACCUCCCAACUCCAAGCCUACCUCUCUGACUAUUAUUUUUCAUGAACAAGGGAGUACUUAAGUUAAGCAAGCAAUUCAAAAGGAACACAACUUUUCCAUUUGAAAUCACUGUGUGGAGAUCUAUAUGUAAUUUAAGAAAAGGGGGAAAAAUAGGAGGGAGAGAAUUUGAAAAAUAAAAUGAUGGAAUUGGAAAGCUCUUUUUUAAAUAGAGUGUCUGACUUGGAGAUUGACUAGGGCUAAAUAAGAAUAGGGCACUGGGGGCUCUGAAUGUCAAGCCUGGAAGCUGACAUAGAAGAAAGAACCUCAGACUUGUGAGGACUUAUAGAAAUAAAAUAUCUGAGCUCAGAGGCAAUUUAGAGUCAAGAGUCCCUGAGCUGCAAUGACACCCUUGAAGUUAGAAGGAAUCAUCGGGAAUGGGAGAGAUGGUCAGAGACUGAAAACCCAAAUUGUUCAAUUAAGCUCCAAUCUGGGAGAGGUUGCAGAAAGGAGAAUAGUUUAGCCAGCAGGGAAGAAUCAAGAAAGGAUACCAGAGCCAGGGAAAUCCUGAGGACAUACAAUGGCAGGACUAGGAGAACCUUUCAGACUAGAGGGCAUUGGAGCUGGAGGGACUCUUAAAACAGAUGAUCAGAGCUGGGAUGGUGCUAAAAACACUCAAGAUCAUUGCUGGGCAAUAGUUAUGUUUAUAUGCUCCUGGGGAGGGACGAGUAUAUAUAUAUUUUUAAUUAUAUUUAGGGUACAAGCUGCAACAUAUGUUCAUGAUGCUGCUCUGAAUUAAAAUUCCCAUACUGAGUCACAAAAGCAAAAUGGAAAGGUGAACAGACAGUGCCUAAUCUGACUCCAAAAGAAAACAAAGAAAAAAAACCUGCCCCAAAAGUAAUUGCAUGCAGUAUCUUGAAGGCCAAAAGUUGCUGUGAAUAUUUCUGUUAUUAUUAAUGAAAGGGCUGUAUUUAUUGGGAAAAAAAUAAGGUAAGUACACAAUAUUGAAAAGGGAAACAAUUAUGAUUUUAAAGAAUUCUGUUGCUAAGACACAUAUAUAAUAUGAUCAGAUUGGAUAAGCCCCUAGAAUAUAUGAUGAGGGAGGGUCUUUAAAAUUAAAUCAUAGGGUUUCUAGAACCCACCAUUCUGCUUUAAGAACAUAUAUUGGAGAUUAAAGAAAGCUAAUAACAUAGAAUUUCACUGUGGGAAAACAGUGCAGGCUCUGAGUGUCAAAACCUGGAAGACAAGAUAUCAGACCUUGAAAAAUAUGUGGGACACUGAAUGUCCUAAAAUAAAUUAAAUUGGAAGCCAGUUAGAAUCAAGAGCCCCUGAGCCGAAUUGAACCCCAGAAGCUAGAGUAUCAAACCUGGGAGGAACCUUAGAGCAAAGAAAGUGAGGGUUGAUCAGAGCCAGAGCACUAUGGGAUGUAAGACCUGGAAAAGGUCACAGAGAAAGAGAAUGUCAGAGUUGGCAACCAUUUAAGAACAAGGGAUUUCAAUAGAACAUAACAAUUUCAGAACUAGUUUUGGCCGUAAGCAUCAGAGCUGGGAGGGCAAAGAGUUUCAUCUGUAUGCUCAGAGUUCCAAAUUGUGAGGAAGGAGAGGGAAAUUUAAAAAACAAUGAUGGUAUAUUUAUAGUAGGAGAUGCAACAUUUGUUUCAAUAUAAUUUCUAAAAGAACAAUGGCAAUGCUUUAAAUAAAAACUUUUCUAAACACAACCAAAUGAUUUUGCCUUAGAUGACUUGAACCAAAGCAAAACAAAAAAAAAUCCUGAAAAUAUUCUAGUAAGAAUUGUAUCCUAUAAUUUGGUAGUGAAUGUGGACUGUUUAUUGAAAAAAUCUGUUUUUAAUAAAACCCGCUUUGAAAAUGGGAUGCCAUUUGUGAUUUCAUAUCACUGUAUUGUUAAGACAUAUAUAAUUUGCUAGAACAAAACAGUAAAUAGAAAGAACCCUUGAAUGUCACAGGAAUGAGGGGGUUUUCAACAUAAAAUGACAGAGCUAGGAGAGUCUUUAGAACAUAGAAUGUCUGAUCUGGAGGUACAUUUCAAGAGAACAUAUCAUAGUUGAGAAUAUAAAAUUUCAAACCUGGGAGGGCAGGUAGGACCCAGAAUAUCUAUGUUUGGAGGAAAUUUAAAAUCAAGAGUGCCCAAGAUGAAUAGUGCCAUGAAAGUUGGAAUAGUGAAAAUGGGAGAGACCUUAGAACAUAGAACCUGUAAGAUGUCUAGAGCUUGAAAAGAGAAUUUGUCUGAUUCCACAGGAUAUGAACACAUGAAAUGUCAGAGAAUGCCAAGGAAGGGGUAAAAGAGUUAGAGCUGUUGUGAGGAUCAAAGGAAACAAUAUUUGGAAAGCAUUUUAGCACAGUGCCUAUGUCUAGUAGGUGCUAUAUAAAUGUUAGUUAUUACCUACUAGGAAAACCUUUAGAACAUACAAUAUCAAGAUAAGGAUUGUCCUUUUAAAUUGAGUAUCAGAGCUGAGGGUCCUGAGACCACAUAAUAUCAUUUCUAGGAAGGGGUCUCUUAAGUGUGUCAUGGGGAGGGACGGGAAAUUUCUUAAAAAUAAUUAUAUUUAUGUUAUCUGGAACAAUAUAUAUUUCAAUAUAAUUUUUUUUUCAAUAUAAUUUAACAUCGGUACAAUGGUGAUGACCUACUCAUAUCCUGGAACUCACAGAGAGUAAAGGUGACCAACCAAUGUCUAAUCAUACUCCAGUUUAAAAAAGGAAAAAUAAUUGAAAGCCCAGUAAUUGCAGGGGAAGUAAAUUGAAGGGUUAAAGGCUGCAGUGGAUAUCAUUAUUGUUGUUAAUGAAUGGUCAGGAUUUACUGAGAAAAUGAAGUACAGGCUCUGAAUGACAAAACUAGGAGUUGUUGAGGAAGCCAGAAUAUAAGAACUCAGAGGAUUUGUAGAAUAUACAAUGCCAUUAAAUUAAUUCAGUUGGAGGAAAUUUAGAAUCUAAAAGGCCUGAGUUUAAAGGGACCCUGGUAUGUCAAAGGUGGGAGAACUUUAGGUCAUGGAAAGUGAUAGAUUUUUCAGAAGCAGAGAACAGAAAUGGUCUGAUUCUGUGGGAUGUUAGCAUAUAGAAUGACCUGGGAGAAGCCAGAGAGAAUAGAAUGUCAGAGCAGGUAAGAAGACAUUUAGGAAAAGGGAUAUCAGAGUCAGGAAAGCCCUUAGAUCAAACAAUGUCAGGAAUAAGAGUAGCUUUAAAACAUCAGCAUGUCAGAGCUAAGGAAACUCUUAGAACAGAGAUUAUCAAAGCUCAGGUGGUCCCAAGAACAUACAGAAUCAUUGUUCAGAUCCCAUUUAUGAGGAGAGACAGGUAAAAUUUAAGAAUAAUAAGAAAGGAUAUUUAAGGUUUGACAUGCAGCAUAAGUUUAAAUAUAAUAUCAGCACAAUACUGAUGCUCUGAUUUCAAAAUCAGAUUCGAAACACUGCCACUAAGGAAAGGCAGAAAUAUAUUACCCUAGCAGGCUGACAAUCCAGAAACAUAAAAAUAUUCUGAUGGGGGGAAAAUCCAAAUUCCGUGCACUUUCUUAAUCAGGUAAAAGUGCUAUUGGCAUCUCAUUUUUGGUAAUGAAUAGGGGAUGUUUAACUGAAACCAGUGAGGUGUUAAGUGCCCAAUUCUAAAAGGAACAUUAUUUGUGAUUUUAAAUAGUUGUAUGGCUAAGAGAAAUAUGUAACACAAUAUACAAUACUAAAUAGUGAAAAGAGGGAAAAAACCCUUUAAAUAUCACCAGUGUGAGAGGACUUUGAAUAUAAAAAUAAAAAAGUUGGGAGAAGCUUCGGAGAUGUAUUAGAUGCUGGAUAACAAUUAGAAUUGAGAAUUUCCACACUGGGAUGAUGGAUCCAGGCUCAGAAGCCAGAAUAGCAUACCCGACAAGGCCUGUAAAUAUAGAAUUCGGAGCUUAGAGGCAAUUUAAUACCAAGAGUGCCUGAUCUGGAUGGCGCCUUCCUAGCCCUAGUAUCAAACGAGUGAGGGUCCUAAAACCUAUAACGUGGGAGAUAAUUGUCUUAAUUCAGUAUGAUCUGGACACACAGUAUGUGAAGCCAAGGAGAGCCAUAGAGAAGGGAAUGCCAGAGUUGGGAAGGCACUUAGAAAGACAGAUGAUCAGAGCUCAGAAAGCCCUUAGGAUAUACAAUUUCAGGACUGGAUUUGACCAAAAACAACUACACAGUGUCAAAGCAGCUCUUAGCAGAGCUCUGUUGAUCAAGAAAACACACAAUAUCAUUGUUGAGAAGGAAUCUUGUCUAAGUUAGAAGGAAGGAAAGGCAAAUUUUCAAAAGCAUUCAAAAAUAUGUUUAUGGAAUGAAAUCCAACAUGAUAUCUAUAAGCAUGAAGUGGUGAUCCUUGAAUCAGACAGCCAAAGUACAAAUUUGAAAAGAAAAGCCUUAAACUGGAUUAAAAGAAAAACAAUGAAAUGAAAAACAAAAUAACUGACCCAAAAGUAAAAGCAUGCAAUAUUUUAAAGGGAGGGGGGAGACUGUUAUAGAUAUUACAGUUAUUGUUCACAAAAUGGGCCAAAUUUAUUUUUUAAAGGUAAGUAUGUAGGAUUUCCAAGGGAAAUAUUUAGUGAUAUUAAAUAAUUGUAUUGCUAAUACGCAAUUAAUAUACUAAAACAUUUAAUAUACUAGUACACAAUAUACAAAUAUCACUUAAUAUACUAAAACUAAGUAAGUGAAAAGAAAAAAAAACUAGAAUAUCAGAUGACAAAAAAGCUUUUGAGCAUAAAAUACUUAGGAUGGAAGAGACGUUAGAAACGAUAAUAUCUGACUUGAAGGGGUCUUUUAAGAGAAUAUAUUGGUUGAUGAAUAAAGCUAAAAAUGGAGAAUUUCAGGGCUGGGAUGGCAGUCCAGGCUCUGAGUACCAGAAUCAGAACAGAAUAGGAGACUUGAGAAGGUGGAACCAACAAAGAAUGUCUGAGGGUGGAGACAAUUUAGAAACGAGGAGCCUCUGUUAGAUGGGACCUUAUAGCCUAGCAUAGCAAACUCAGGGGUGAUGUCAGAAGUCAAAGUGAGAGAUAGUCAGAGCCACAGAGCUGAAAUUGUCUGAAAGAGGUCAGAAAGAAGAGAAUGUCAGAGCUAGCUAGGCAGGUAGAAGAAGACCUGAUAGCAAAACUCAGAAAGCCUUUGCAGCAUAAAACUUCAGUACUAGCUUUGGCCAUAAAACCAUACCAUGCCAGAGCUUGGAGGGCUCUUAGAACAUAGGUGAGAUACAUGAUGCCAUUGUUAGGAACAAGUUUUGUUUCUACACUCAGAGGUUCAACUUCUGGGGAAGGAGAGGUAAAUGUAAAUGAUGUGAGACAAGAUUUAUUUACAGUAUGAAACAAGAUUUAUGCCAGCACAAAGUUGAUCUUCUGAAUUAAAAGAGACUGCACAAAAUCAGAGGGGAAGGAGAAGCAGACUGUCAAGUCUGGUUCUUCUUCUACUUCUACUACUAAUAAUAAUAAAAGACAAAAAUAAUUGCAUUGAGUGUCUUUAAGAAUUAGACUAUUUUAGCUAUCACUAUUAUCGUUAAUGAAUGAUCAAUCAGUACUUAUUGAAAAAAGUACAUGGAAUUCAAAAGAAAAACUUGUGCUCUCAUACAUAUAUGGAAUUUAAUGUAGUUGAGCUGAAUAAGUGAGUGAAAAAGAAAACAAACAGGUGGGAGGUGACUUUAAUAAAAAAAAAACAGGGUUACAUGAUGGCACUAAGAAAAUACUAUGACUUGGAGGUGCCUUUCAAGAAAAUAUUUUGGAGGCUGGGGGUGUUUAGAACAGAGAACCUCAUAAAUGAACAGUGACAUAGAAGCCAGAAUAUGAGAUUUGAGAGGUUGUAUCUGAAUUUGGAGACAAUUUUGAAUAUAUACUAAUCAGUGUUGCAUGAGCUGUAUGGGGCACUCUAAACUAGAGUAUCAGAUUUGGGAAAGGCUUUAGAACACAGAAAGUGAGAGCCAAUCAGAGUCAGAGAACUGAGAUUGCUUGAUUCAGUAGGCCUGGGAGAAUCAAUGAAUGACAGCUGGGAAGGCAGCUAGGAAAAAUGAUAGAACAUAGAAUGGCAGGACAAAGAGUGGCUUUAAACCUCAGAAUGGCAGAGGUGAAGAAACUCUUAGAACAGAUGGUCUUGAGCUCAGAUGGUCCUGAGAACAUACAGUACCAUUUCUGGGAAGAAGUUUUAUUUCUUUGCUCAAAGUUCCAACUUUGGAGGAAGGUCAGGUAAGAAUUUCUCAAAGUAUAUUUUGUAUAAGAGUUGAAUCAUAUUUCAGUAUCAUUUAUAUCAGCAUGAUGGAGAGUUUCAGGGCUGAGGCCAGUCCAGGGGCUGAAUAUCAAAAUUGGGGUUUGCCAUAGAUGUCAAAAUAUGAGCCUCCCCCCCCAAACCCUUACUGGCUAUCUUGGAAUUGAUACUAAGUAUCAAAUAGAAAAGAGCAGUAAUGGCUAGGAAAUGGAGGUCAAGUGACUUGCCCAGGGUCACCCAGCUAGAAAGUGUCUGAGCCCAGAUUUGAAGCCAGAACCACCUGACUCUCAAUCCACUGAGCAAUCCAGCUGCCCCUAAAAUAUGAGACUUAAGAGAAAGUAUGUCCAACAUGGAAUGUCUGAGCUGGAAGAAAUUUCAAAUCAGUGGAGUCCUCUAACCUAGGUAUCAAACUUGGAAAGGCCUUUAGAAUACAGAACCAAAAUUGUCUCCAUGGGAUACGAACCUGGAAGGAACAAUAGACAAGAAAAUAUCAGCUUUCAAGGUAUGUGGGGCAAGUGAUAACAGAGUUAGCACAACUGCUAGAACAUAGAAUUUCAGAACAUGCUUGGCCCAUAAGUCCACACAGUUGGAGGUUGAAUAGAGCUUAGAAAAUUAGAGCUUAGAAUUUCAGGACUUGGAUAACUGUCUGGGCUCUGGGUGUCUAAACGAAGAGUGAACACAGAAGACAGCAUCAGACCUAGAAGAGAAUGUAGAAAAUACAAUGAAUGAGCUUGGAGGCAAUGUAGAAUCAAAAGUGCCUGAGCUGGAUGUAGUCAGGGAAUAUGGACUAUCAGACUUUAGAAUAUAGCAAGUGAGAGAUGGUUAAAGCCAGAGAACAGAAAGUGGCAUUGUGGGAUGUGAGCAAGUAAUGUCGGGCCCAAGAGAGAAGGAAAUGAAGUCAAAGAUGGCAGGUAGAACAAGUAAUAUCAGAACCAGGAAAAGCCUUAGAACAUUCAGUAGUGGCUUCAAAACCUCAGUGUGUCAGAGCAGGGAGAAUUCUUAGAACAUAGAUUAUCAGAGCUCAUAUAGUCCUGAAAAUCUACAAGUUCCUCAUGGGAAAGAGUUUUAUUUCUGAGUGUAAGAGUUCCCCUUUAUGAGGAAGGACAGUUUAGUUGAAAAAAAAAUAGCGAAAUGUAUUUAGGAUAUGACCUGCAACAUAUUUUGAUAUCAUUUAUUUCAGCCCCCCACAGAUGCUAUGAUUUUCAAGUCUGGUUCUGAAACAGCCAGUGAGAAAAAGUAAAAAUAUAUUCCCUCAAUGGCUGAAAAUCUUAAAAAGUAUAUCUUGAGGGGAGGGGGGAAUCGUUGUUCCAUUCAUUACUUUGGUCUAACAAUAAUAUUAUUGAUAUUGGUAAUGAAUAGGGAGUGCUUGUUGAAAAAAGUUUUAUAUACCCAGUUUUAAAAGGUUUAGUAUUUGUGAAUUUAAAUAGUAUUUCUAAGACAACUGCGUAACUUAAUAUAACAAAGCUGAGUAAGUGAAAAGGAAAAAAACCUUGACUAUCACUGGAAAGAGGAGUCUUUGAACAUAAAGUGACAAAGCCUGGGGAGUUUUUAGAACAUAGGCUGUCACAUUUUGAGAUGCAUUUCAGAAAGAAUUGUACAGUGAGUUGGCAGUCCAGGCUCUGAAUGUUAGAGAAGAGUUUUCUGAUGGAAGCCAGAAAAUAUCAGACUUUUGUGGGUCUGUAGAAUCAAAAUGUCUGUUUGGAGCCAAUUUAACACCCUGUGUGCCCGAGAUGGGUCCCUGCUACCCAUAAUAUCAAAGGGGGGGAGGGUACCUUGAGACACCCAAAGUGGGAAGUGUUCGAAGCCUGAGAACAGGGAAUUGUCUGAUUAAGUGAGAUAUGAGCACAAAGAAUGCCAGGCUUGGGAGAAGCCAGAAAGAAGAGAGUGUUAGAACUGGCAGAGUAUUUGGAGGAAGGGACAGAAGAGGUGAGAAAGCCUUUAGUACAUGCAAUUUCAAGACUUGCUUUGUCAUAAAGCCACAGUGUAUCAGAGCUGGAUGAGCCUUUAGAAUAGAAAUGAACAGAGCUCAGACAGAUGGUCCUGAAAAUAUGUGAUAUUGUUGCUGGGAACGAGUUUUUUUGUCCUCACUCACAACUUAUUGGCAAUAACAGGUAAAUUUAAACAGCAAUUAAAAGUAUGCUUUGGUAUGAGAUGCUUGCAACAUAUAUUUCAAUAUAAUUUAUAUUAACAAAAUGAUCAUCCUGUAAUUAGUUCUCAUGUCCUGCCUCACAUAGUCAAAGAGGAAAAGUGAGCGUGCAAUGUCUAAUCAAGUUCCGAAAGAAAGGAAGCUAAAAAAAGGAAAAAAUCAAAGACAAUAGAGUAAUUGUCUGUAGUGCUUCUGAGUGUUAAGCCUGCUGCAGAUAUCACUACUCUUGUUGAUACUCUUGUUGUUAGUAUGUAUUGAAAAAUAUAAAGAACAUAGGGUUCAAAAGAAAACUAGUUUAUGCUCUCAAAGGACUAUUGCUAAUCAAUAUGGCAGUUUAAUAUCUUUAAACUGAAGAAAGUAAGGGGGAAAGACUUUGACCGUAAAAUGUCAGUUCUAGACCUCUCAGAAACUGCAAUGUCUGACUUAGAGAUGUCUUCCAAGAGAACAUGUUGGAGAAUGGCUAGAGCUUAGAAAUGGAGAAUUACAGUGCUGGCAUGGCAGAACUGGGAGCUGACAUAGUAUCUAGACUAUGAGACUUGAGAAGGCAUGUCCGACCUAGAAUGUCUAUGCUUCGAGGUAGUUUAGAAUCAAUGGGGCCUGAGCUAGGUGGGACCCUCCAGACUAGAGUAUCAAACUUGGGGGGAUUGUAGAUCACAGACAAUGAGAGUUGGUCAGAGCCAGGGAACUGAAAUUAUAUGAUUCAGUGAGAUGUGAGCACAGUUUUGGAGAAGCCACAGAGAAGAGAAUUCCAGAACUAUCAAGGCAAGUAGAAGUGAUGUCUAAGGGCUAGUGUAGCCUGUAGAAGAUAUCAUCUCAGUUGUGGCCAUAAAUUUACAUGGUAUCAGAGCUAGGAGAGCUUUAGAACAUAGAUUACCUGGGCUCAGAUGGUCCCAAGAAAACCCAGUAUCAUUGCUGGGAAGGCGAUUUGUUUCUGCAUUUAGAUUUUAAACUUAUGGGAAAGGACAGGUAAAUUAUGCAAUAACAGUAUGUAUUUAAUGUAUAAUCCAGUGUAAUAUAUGUCAGCAUAAUGAUGAUCCUCUGAAUUAAAACGUAUAUCCUGAACAGAAAGGUGAACAUAUAGUCCCUAAUUAGAUUCCAUCUGGCUCCUCAGAAAAGAAAACAGAAAAAAGAAAAGGAGAAAAUAACUGAAAAAGCAGUGAUUCUAUGCACUGUCUUGAAAGUUUAAGCAAUUUUAAAUAUCACUGUUAUUGUUAAUGAAUGUUCAAUAUUUACUGGAAAAAUUAGUACAGAGAAUUAAAAUGAGAAAGAACAUGUGCUCUCAAGUAAUGAUACUGCUAAUUGGAAGAAGCUAUAGGGAAGAGAAAGUUAGAGCUGGCAGAGAACUUGAAGGGACAGAAGAGCCUUGGACUAGCCUUAGAAUAUAUUUCAGGACUAGCCUGGGUCAGAAGCACUCAGUGUCAGAGCUGGAAGGGCUCUUCUACGUUAUCAGAACUCAGAUGGACCUGAGAACAUAGAAUGUCUUUACUGGGUAGGAUUUCUGUUUCUGAGCUUGGAGUUGCAAAGUUAUGGGGACAAAUGAGUAAAUCUGGACAAUAAAAAAGUUUCUUUAGGGGAUGAAAAGUAGCCUGUUUUACAUUAUACUUUGUAUUGGCAUAUUAGUGAUUCUCUUAAUUAAAAAUAUGUCCUCUAUUACUCAAAAACUAAAUGUAUGGUGUUUAAUAUGAUUCUGAUUUUAGAAAAGGAAUGGAAAAAGUCACUGAAUAUCAUAAUUGCAGGCAGUUUCUUGAAGGGUUAAGGCAGCAGUCAAUAUCACUAUUAUUGUUCAUGAAAGGUCAAUUGAUUCAUUGAAAAAUUAAAUUAAGUGCAUAGAAUUCUAAAGAAUAAUAAUUUGUGAUUGCAAAUGACCAUAUUGAAAAAUGCAUAUAUGUAAUUUAAUAUACUAAAACUGAAGAAAUAAGGAAAAAGGAAAACUAAAGCAUGACCCGGCUGAGUGGGUCCUUAGAUAAUAGUGUCUGAUUUGUAUGGACAGCCCUUUCAAGAGAAUAUAUUAGAGACUGGAGAAAUCGUAGAAGAGAGCCUUCCAGGGCUGAAACAGCAGUCCUCAGUCUAAGUGUGAAAACCAGGAGUUGACAUGAAAGCUAGACUAUCAGACCAGGGAGAGAAUGUGGAGCACAGAAAGAAUGAACUUGGAGGCAAUUCAGAGUCAAGAAGGCCUGAGCUGGAAGGGGCCCUAGAUGACAAGAGAGAGGUGGUCAGAAGAGAAAUCGUCUGAUUCUGUGGCAUAGGAAGGUCUGUAAGAAGCUGUCAGAGAGAAGAGGAUGUCAGAAGGCAGGACACUUGGGAGGAGUACCCUUAGAAUACACAAUUUCAAGACUACCCUGGGCCACAACCCCAUAGUGUCAGAGUUUAACCAGGGUUAAGAGAGCUCAGAAGGGCCUGAGAACACAUGAUAUCAUUGUUGAGAAGGAGUCUUAUUUAUGUAUUCAGGGUCCAAGUUAAAGAGAAAGCACGCUAAAAUUUAAAAAUAUUUUUAAAGUCUAUGGUAUAAAAUACAACACUGGUGGCAAUUUAAUAUCAAUAAGUUCAAUGGUGAUCCUUUGAAUUAAAACUCAUGUCCUGAAUCACACAACCAAAGUGGGCAUUGGAAUAUACAGUGUUUAACCUGGAUUAACAGGAAAACAUUGAAAAGGGGGGAAAGUGACAGAAAGGAAAAAAAUGUGGUUUUUUUUCAAGGGUUUCUGCUGUUAAUGGGGCAUAUUUGUUGGGGAAAAAGAAGGUAAGUAUAUAGGAUUUGCAAGGGAAACAAUUUGUGUUUUUAAGUAAUUGUAUUACUAAUAAAUGCCAUUUAACUUAUUAACACUGAAUAAAUAAGUGAAGGGGGGAAUCCCCUUUAAUAACACUAGAGUGAAGGGACUUUGACCAUAAAAUUAAGGAGCUGGGAAAGUUUUUAGUACAUAGAUUGUCUGACUUGGAAACACAUCUCAAAAUUUUGGAGGCCGAAUUGAGCUUAGGAUGGAGAUUAUCUUAACUGGGAUACUGGUCCAGGCUUAGAAAAUAUUAGAAAUGGGUUUUCCAAAAGAAGUCAGAACAUCAGGCUUGGGAAGGGCCAUGUAAAAAUAUAGAAUAUCUGAGCUUGGAGGCGAUCUAAGGUUCCAGAGCCCCCCACCAUAUUAUCAGAGGUGUGAAACUUUCCAACACUGAACUGUCUGAUUCAGUGAGAAAUGGGUCCACAGAAUGUCAGGCUUGGGUAUAGCCAUAGAGGAGAGAAUGCUAACAGAGAAUUUAGAAGGGAUAUAAGAGCCAGGAAAACCCUUAGGAUAUUGGCCAUAAAAAAUUUACUGUCGGAGCCUCUUAGAAUACUAUCAGAGGACUGAUGGUCCUGAGAAUAAGUAAUAUCACUGCUAGGAAGGAGUCUUGUUUAUGUGCUCAGGGGUUCUCCCUCCCUUGGUCAGGGAGAAUUAAAUAAAAAAACAUUUUAAGAGUAUACUUAUGUAGAACCAUAUAAUACCUAGAAAAGUACAACAGUGAUCUUAUAAAGUAAAAUCCAAGUCCUAAAUUACACAGGCAAAGUAGAACUUUGAAUAUACCAUGCUUAAUCCAAAAUUAAAGGGGAAAAAUUGAACAGACAAAAAAAUCACAUGUAGUAUUUUCAAGAGGUAAGGUGGAUAUGCAUACUACUAUUAUUCAUGAAUGGACCAUAUAUAGGGAUCAGAAAAGAAACUGAAGUAAUUGUAUAGCUAAGAAACAUCUAGCAUUUAAUAUAUUAAAACUGAUUAAGAGAAAAGGGAAAAAUACUCCCAAGAAUAUCAGAGAAGAGAGAUGCUAUUGACCAUAAAAUACCUAGGCUAGGAAUAUCAUUAGAGAUUAGGACAUCUGCCUUGGAGAUGCCUUUUGAGAGACUCUAUUAGAAGAUAGAUAGGGUUUAGAGUGUUGGGAUAGUAGCCCGGGGGGCUCUGACUAUCAGUCACACCUGGGAGUUGAUAUAGUAUACAGAAUAUGAGCCUUGAGAAAGUGUGUCCAAUAUAGAAUGUCCGAGCUUGGAGGCAACAGAAAUAAUCACUGGGGCCUGAGCUGAAUGGUGUCCUUCAACUUAGAACAUGAAAGUUGGGAGAGAUUAUUUAAUUCAUAGGAAAUGUGAGAUACAGCCAAGGAACAGCUAUUGUCUGAUUCAUGGCAGCUAAGCAUAUAGAAAUGUGAGGCCCAAGAGGAGGGAAUAGCAAAGCUGAAAGACACUUGGAAGAAGCAUUAUCAGAGCAAGGGAAGCCGUUAGAACAUAGAAUUUCAGAACUAACUUUGACCAUGAAAUUGUAAAAUGUCAGAGCUCUUAGAACAUGGAUUAUCAGAACUUAGAUCGUCCUGAGAACACAAAAUUUCAAUGUUGUGAACAAGUUCUGUUUCUGUUCUGAGUUCCAUCUUAUGAGCAAAUUAUCACAACAAAAACAAAGUAUAUUUAGGAUAUAAGAUGCCACAUGUAUGUCAGUAUAAUUUAUAUCAGCACAAUGGUGAUGCUAUGAAUUAAAACUUACAUCCUGUAUCACAUAGAUGAAAAGACAAUCUACAGGGGGCACUCUGCUUCCAGUUUUUAAAAUUGAAAAGAAAAGGUCACAACCUAGCCCUUGGUGGCUUCAAGGGUUGGGACUUCUGUAGAUACCGCUAUUAUUGUUAAUGAAUGGUGGAUAUUCAUUUAAAAAAGAAAUGCACAGAAUUCAAAAGAGAAGAAUCUGAGCUCUGAAAUAUUUCUACUACUCAUACAUAUAUGUAAUUUACUAUACUAAAAUUGAAGAAAUAAGUGAAAAGGAGACAACAAACUAAGAAAACAAAGGUUUCUGUGUUCAGAGGUCCAAUUUGGGGGAGUGAUAAUUUAAAAAACUUUAUUUAGGGCAUGAUAUACAACAUAUGCUUCAGUAUGAUUUUUAUCAGUAUCAUGCAAGUCAGUUCCCAAAACAUAGCCAAUGAGGAAAUAUAAAAAUAUUCUAGCAGGAUGAAAAUCUGAAAAGAAACAUUUAUAUAGCCAUCUAGAUAUUGAUAUUGAUAUUAUUGAUUAUGAAUAGGGAGUAGUUUUCUCUUUUACCAAAGAUUUACAUAUCCAAAUUUAAUAGGGACACCAUUUAUGAUUUUAAAUAAUUAUACUGCUAAGACACAUAUAAUUUAACAUAAUAGAACUGAAUAAAUAAUGGAAAAGGAAAAUAUGAAAAUCCUUGGAUAUGAAUAAAGUGAGGCGACUUUGAACUUAAAAUAACAGAGCUAGGUGAUUCUUAGAACAGAAAGUGUUUGACUGAGAUUCACUGGAAGAGAAUAUCCUGGAGGGUAGAUAGAACUUAGAAUGGAGAAUUUUUACACUGAGAUGGCAAUCCAAGCUCAGGACAUUAGAAAUGGGUUUUUCAAUCAGAGUUAGAAUUGUAGACUUGGGAGGGAAUCUAGAAUACAUAAUAUCAAAGGUAUAAGGGACCACAAAAUGUAGAAUGUAGAAGAUUUUCAGAGUUUGCAAUCAGAAAUUGUGAGACAGGAGUACAUAAAAUAUUAGGCCUGGGAGAAACUAUGGAAGAGGGAAUGUUAGAGCUGGCAGAAAACUUAGAGAAAGAGCUAGAAGAGCUAGAAAAAAACCCCUAGAACAUACAAAAACCUCAGCAUCAGAGCUGAGGACUCUUAGAAUGUGGAUUGUCAAAGCUCUAAUGAUCCUGAGAACUCCCAGUAUCCCUGCCAGAAACAAGUUUUAUUUCUAUGCUCAGAGCUACAAUUUAUAGGGAAGGGCAAAGAAACAACAAUAACUAAGUAUAUAUUUAGAGUAUGAAAUGGAGCAUAAAUUUCAUUAAAAUUUAUUUUAGCAAAAUGGGAGGGCUCUCAAUUAGCUCUUAUGCCCUGCAUUGCAGUGCUUAAUUUGGUUCUAAUAUAAAAAAAGAAUGUGAGGCCCGAGAGAAAGGAAUAUCAAAGAAAAGGAAAAGAAGAAAAACUCACCACAUAAUAAUUGCAUACAGCGUCUUGAAGGGUUACGACUGCUAAAGAUAUCACUAUCAUUAUUAAUGAAUGGUCAGCAUUGACUGAAAGAUAAAGAAAAUACAGAAUUUUUAAAAAGUAUUAUAUUGUUUAUAAAUAUAUACACAUAUAUGUGUAGUUUAAUACAAUGAAACUGAAGAAAUAAGUGAAAAGUAAACAUUAAUUUAGAAUAUCAGAAGAGGAAGGAGACUUUGACCAUAGAAAUGACAUGGAUGAAAGUGUCCUUAUAUAGCAGUGUCUGAUUUAAAAGUGCUUUUAAAGGAAUGUUCUGGAGAUUUGAUAUAUUAUAGAAGAUACUUCCAGGACUGAUACAGCAGUCCUAGCUCUAAAUGUGAAAAGCAGGAGGAGAAAAUGUAGAACAGAGAAUAAAUGAGCUUGGAAGCAACUUCAAAUCAAGACUGUUUGAGCCUGCAGUGGCCCUAGAACCUGGACUAUCAAAUAUGGGAGGGACUUUAGAACAGAGAAAUGGUGGAGAGAGCCAGAGAACAGAAAUUGUCUGACUCCAUGGGAUGGGAGAAGCCAUGGAUAAGAAAACGUCAUAGAAGGCAGGACAUUUAGAAAAAAGGAUAUCAGAGCCAGGAAAUCUGUAGAACAUACAAUAUCAGGACUAGCUUUGGACAAAACUACACAGUAUUAGAUCUAGGAAUGCUUCUAGAAUACAGAUUAUUGGAGUUCAAAUGGGCCUGAGAACAUAAAUUAUCACUGCUGGGACAGAAUCUUGUUUAUGUGCUCAGAAGCCCGUGUUAUAAAAAUGGUAAGUUAACUUUUAAAAUAUUUUAAAAGUAUAUUUAUGGUUUGAAAUGCAACAUAAAUGUCAAUAUAAUAUUUAUAAGCACAAUGGUGAUCCUCUGAAUUAAAAUUCAUGUCCUGAAUCACACAGCCAAAAGGGAAAUUUGAAUAUGCAGUGCCUCAUCUGGAUUAAAAGGGAAGCAAUGAAAAGAAGAAAAAUAAUUGAUUAAAAAGUAAAUUCACACAACUUUUAAAGUACCUCACAUACAAGCCUAAAGUGUCAGAUUUAGGUGAUGAAAACCAAGGGUGAGCCAGCAGUUUAGUGGCUCUGAAUCUGCAGAACCUCUCAGCAACAUUAACUAAGAUUGAGUCCAGCAGCAGUCUAUACACUCUCAAUGACACAUGAGCAAUGUAUCCAAACCUGGUCAGGCAUCUGCAGAACACAGACCUCUCCCUGGAUCACACCACUUUGGAAGCACCAAAAUAUGUACAGGCCCCCAGAAUAAGCUGUGAAAGCAGAAGAAGGACAUAAAAGACAGAAGCACAGGCCAGUCAUUCUCUGUGGAGGCGAGCAGAACCAAACUCUAACAAAAAGUUAAAAAUCAAGAAAUAGUCUGGGGAAAAUGACCAAACAACAAAAAAAGAGCCAGACUAUACACAACUCUAUGGUGAAGUUCAAGACACAACGUUGGAAAACAAUGAUUUCAAAAUAUCUAUAAGAAAGACUCAAAGAUGCAGAUUGGCCACAAGUCCGACAAGAAUUCAAAGAGCUAAAGAAAAUGACUAAGAAAAGAAAAUGAACAUAAUUAUUUUUUUAAUCAAAUAAAAGUUGUAGAAGAAAAACUGGGACUAUGCUAGAAAAUUGUGAAGAGAUUUAACGCCUUAGUGAAAGAGGCACCCAAAAUACCAAAGAGUAACUCCUUAAAACUCAGAAUUUGCCAUAUGAUAUAAGAGGUACAAAAUGUCACUGAAGAAAAUAAUUUCUUAAAAAUUAGACUUUGCCAAAGUAGACUGAAAGAUAAUAAUUCCAUGAGAAGUCAACAAAUGAUAAAACUAAGUCAAAACACUAAGAAAAAAAUAAGAUGAAGAUGAUGAUGAAGAAAAUAUGAAAUAUAGGAAUAACCACUGACCUGGAAAAGAGAUCAAAGAGAAGUAAUUUAAGAAGCGCUGAGACCAUUUGCCAUGAGCUUUCUUUUCUACUCUUCCUCAUCGCCUAUCACUCAGAUGCCUUCUUCCACUAUGUCCUCCUUUACCCCAAAUUUACAUGAUACACUAGAUCAAAAAGAGAUCAUUUAAGAACCACUGCAAUACCUGAAAGUUAUGAACAGCACAAAAAAGACUAUCAUGUUUCAAGAAAUUAUAAAUGAAAAUUGCUCUGAUAUCUUAGAAGCCUAGGGCAAAGUAAAAAUGGAAAAGGAAAUUCACAUCACAUUCUGAAUGAAAUCCCUAAAUAAUAAAAAGAUACAUUCCAAAAAGAGCCUUUGAAGCAUAGAUUAAAAUUAAUUGGAAACUAAAUAACUUAAUCCUAAAGAGGCAAUAAUUUCAUUAAAAGUGACAACCAUGAUACAAAAUACCAAAAUCUUUUGGAUAAAACUGAAGCAGUAUUCAGGGGACAAUUUUUAUCUCAAUGCUUAUAGCAAUAAAAGAGAGAAAGAGCAGAUCAAAGUAUUAAGUAUGCAACAAUAAAACCAAACAAAAAACUCUAGAAAAAAUUUAAACUCCAGAUAAAUAUCAAAAUAAUCUGGAAAAUCAAAGGACAGAUUAAUAAAAUUAGAAGUUGAAAAAAGUUCCAAUAAAAUAAUAAAACUGCUUUUUAGUUAUAAAAAGUGAAGAUAAGCCAUUGGAUAAUUUGAUUUUUUAAAAAAAGAAAAACCUUACCAGUUACAAAAAUGAAAAGAGUAAAUUCAAAACCAAUGAAGAUGAAAUAAAAGCAAUAAUUAGGUGGUAUUUUGUUCAAGCAUUUGCCAAUAAAAUUGAAAAACUAAACUCUCAUACGAACACAUCAGGAAAUAGAAUGCCGAAAUAACCACAACUUAAAAAAAGAAAUUUAAAAGGCCAAAAAUGACCUCCCUAAGAAAAAAACCAAAGGACCAGAUGAAGUUAAAGGUGAAUUCUACCAAACAUUUAAAGAACAAUUUAAUUCUGAUACUACAUAAACUGUUGGAAAAAAAAUCUAAAGGAGUCCUACCAAAAUACUUCUGUGAAACAAAUAUAACCUUGAUAUAAAAACCACAAAGAGCCAAAAUGGAAAAAAAUUACAGACCAAUUUCCUUAAUGAGCAUUAAAUAAAUGAAUUAGAUAAAAUAUUAACAAGGAGGUUACCACGCUAAGGCUGGCUGGAUGCAUACAGAAAUGCAGGACUGGUUCAAUAUUCAGUAAACUAUAUUUGACCAUAUCAAUAACAAAAAUCAUAUUUCAAUGAAUGCAUAAAUUUUUUUGACAAAAGAAAACAGCCACAUCUUUUCAAAAUACUAAAAAGCAUAGGAAUAAGUGAAACUUUUCUUAAAAUGGUAAGUAAUAUAUAUCUAAAACCAAAUACAACCAUUAAGGAACAAAUGAAAAUAUUCAUUAUUACAAUUAUUAUUUGAUAUUAGUGCUAGGAACAAGAAAAAACUGGUGGAACAAGCAUCAGCAAUGAGGAAAUAAAACUAUCAUCAUUUGCAGAUGAUAUAAUGAGGGUUUAGUUAAAGAACUCUAGAGAGACAACUAAAAAACUAGUCAAAACAAUGAACCUCAACCAAGUUGCAGAACAGAAAAUAAAUCCACACAAGAUCGGCAUUCCUAUAUAUUACCAACAUAAUCCAGCAGGAAAAAUAGAAAGAGAAAUUCCAUUAAAAAAGACAAACAAUACUUGAGUCUAUCUGCCAGGCAUACACAGCAACUCUAUGAACACAAUUUACAAAACAUUUUUUACACAAAUAGAACUAAAAACCUAGAGACAUAUUUAUUGCUAAUGUAUAGACCAUGACAAUAUAAUAAAAAUGACAAUCCUACUUAAUUUAUUUACUUCUUUAAUGUCAUACCAAUCAAUCUACAGAUAAUUAAUUUAAAGAACUAGGAAAACUAAUAAAAUUCAUCUGGAAGAACAAAAGGUCAAGAAUAUCAAGGGAAUUAAUGAAAAAAAUUAUAAGGAGACCUCGCAGUACCGGAUCUUAAGCUACACUACAAAGCUGUAAUUAAAACAAAAUUGUAUUAGAUAACAAAUAGAGUGUAUCAGAAUAGGCACAUAAUAUGCAAAAGCAAAUGAACAUAGUAAGCUAGUGUUUGAUAAACCUAAAGAUCCUAGCUAUUAGGGCAAGAAUUGAUUAUUUGAUGAAAACUGGCAAAUAGUUGGGCAGAAACUAGGCACAAUCCAACAUCUCACACCAUUUACCAAUAUAAAACUUAAACGGGGACAUGAUUUAGACAAAGUGUGAUAGGAUAAGCAAAUUAAGGGAGUAUGGAAGAAAUUACCUUGUCAGAUUUUUUGGAAAAGGGAAGAGUUCAUGGCCAGACAAGAGAAAGAGAGGCUUCCAGAAGACAAAAUGGAAAAUUUUGAUUACAUAAAAGUAAAGUUUUUGCACAAACAAAACAAAUGCAGUUAAAAUGAGAAGAAAAACAAGGAACUGGGUGGAGGGGUGAAUCUGGACAGCAAGAUUUUCUGAUAAAAAUCUAAUUUUAAUAAGGAAUUGUGACAAGCUUAUGAAAGUAAGUUAUUCCCUCGUUGGUAAGGGAAUACAAAUAGGCAGUUUUCAGAGGAAGAAAUCAAGUUUUAAAUAGCCAUGUAAAAUGCUCUGUCACUUAAUAAUUAGAGAAACAUAAAUGAGAAUAACUCUGAGGUACCCCUUCACACCUAAUAUUGGCUGCUGACAAAAAAGGACAAGAAUAAAUGCUGGUGGAGAUGUGACAGAAUAAAUGCCCUGUUGAUAGAGCUAUGAACUACUCCAACUCUUCUAAACUAUUAAACUAUGCAUGUCCUUUGACCUAGCAGUGCUAGGUCUAUAACACAAAGAAAUCAAGGAAAAGGGGAAAUGGCCCAAAUAUACAAAAAUAUUCAUAGCAGCUCUUUGUGUCAGCAAUGAAUUGGAAACUGAGGGAAUGCUCAUCGACUGGAAGUCUGAAGAAGUUACGGAUUACGAAUGCAUAUAUGUGGAAUAUCUACACACAUAUGAAUGGAGUAGUGUCGGAAAUGAAAUACUGCUGCCAGAAAUGAUGAAGAUGACAGUUUCACAGAAAUCUGAGAAGACUUCAAGGAAUCGAUGCAAAGUGAAGGGACUGAACCAUGAGAGUGACAUACACAGUAACAGCAAUUUUGAAUAAUAAACUAUGAAAGACUUCAUAAUUCUAGUCAAUACAAUGAUCAAUCACAAUUCCAAAGGACUCAUGAGGAGACACCUACACAUAAAAUAUUGAUGGACUCAGAGUGUAGAAUGAAGCAUAUUUUUUCUCUUUAUUUCUUUUGUGUGUGCGUAUGUAUGUGUGUGUGUGUAUGCAUGUUUUCCACAACAUGACAAAGGCAGUAAUUUGUUUUCAAUGACUUCAUAUUUGUAAAAGAUUUUGUAUUUCCUACUUCCUCAUUGGGUGGGGGAGAGGGUGGAAGGGGAGGAAAAGAAUUUGGAACUGAAAAUAAAACUGAAUUUAAAAAAUAGAAUGUCUGACUUGGAGGUGCCUCUCAAGAGAAUAUAUUGGAGAAUGGCUAGAGCUUAGAAUGGAGGAUUUCAUGAUGGGAUGAUAGUCCAGGCUUAAAAUAUCAGAACUGGGAAUUGACAGAGAAACCAGAAUGAGACCAUGACAAGGUAUGCCCACUAUAGAAUGUCUCAGUUUGGAGGCAAUUUAGAAUUAAUGGGGCAUGACCUAGAUAGUACCUUCCAACUUAGAAUAUCCCACUUGGAAGUGACUUUAGCAUACAAGGAGUGGAGGACAGUCAGAAUCAGAGAACUUGGCCAGAGAUUUGUCCAGUUUGCUUCUUUGGAAUAUGAGCACACAGAAUGUGUAAUGCCUGGAAGAAGUCAUAGAAAGGAGCUAGCAGGGCACUUAGAAGAAGGGCUAUCAACAUGAGGAAAGCCCUUAGAACAUAUAAUUUCAGAACUAGCAAGGCUACAAAACCACAGAGUCAGAGCUAGAAGGGUUCUUAGAAAAAAAUGAUCCGAUCUCAAAUGGUCUCAAGAACAUAAAAUAUUGCUGGUAAAGAAUUUUGUCCUUAUGUCCAGGUUAUGGGAAAUACAAGUUAAAAAUUCAAAACAUUUAAAAUAGACAUAGAUAUACAUAUGAUAUGCACGAUAUUUCAAUAUCUUAUUUGGAAUCACAAUGGUGGUCCUCUGAAUUAAAGAUCCUACCUUCAAUCACAACAGCCAAAGUAGACAUUUGAAUAUGCAAUGUGAAAUGUGAAAACAGAAAACAAUGAAACAAAAAAUAAAUUACAAAAAAGUUAAUGUAUGUAAUAUUUUCAAGGGGUCAGGCUACUAUACGUGUUUUUGUUUUUGUUGUUGUUGUUAAUGAAUUUGGUGUAUUUGUUGAAAGAAUAAGGUAAGUAAUCAAGUUCCACAAGAGAAACAAUUCAUGAUCUUAGCCAAUAGGUAAUAAACAUUUAUUAGGCUCCUACCACAUGCCAUGUACUAUGCUAAGCACUAAGGUUGCAAAUACCAGAAGAGAAAAACAGUCCUUAUCCUCUAGGAGAUUUUAAUGAGGCAAGACAAAACACAAAAGGAAGCUGAAAAGGGGAGAGGAGGUGGGGAGGAGGGUUGGAAGAGGAUAUACCAGAGCCCGGGGCAUGGUGGAGAAGUCAAUCAGAAAAUCCCAAAGUAAUGCAGCCAGCUAAAAAAUGAGAUGUCUGACCUAUCCUUAAAUGGAAGUUUGGAGUUCAUAGCCCAACCCUCCAAUCAGAGAGGCAGAAGUGGAGGACCAAGGUUGAUGAGGUGGUUCCAAUAAUGACUUGCCAGGAGCAUUCUGGAGAUAUCAGUCAGUUCCCAAAGUAGUGCAGCCGGGUGAGAAAUGAUUGUAUUGCUAAUUUACAUGUCAUUUACCAUACAAAAACUGAUUAAAUAAAUAAAAGGGGAAAAGACCCUUGAAUAGGAGAGUAUUUUGAACAUAAAAUAAGCAGGAUGGGAUGAUCCUGUAUAAUGUCUGACUUGAAGUAGUCUUUCAAGAGAAGGCUAGUUAAAGCUUGGAGUGGAGAAUUUCAGUGCUGGUAUGUCAGUCAAAGCCCUGAAUAUCCAAACUGAGAGGUGACAUGGAAGCCAGACUAUGAGACUUGGGAGGCUAUGUCCAACAUAGAAUGUCUGGAAGCUUGGAGGCAGUUUAGAAUCAAUGGAACUUGAACCACAUGGGGCCCUCAAACCUGGAAUAUCAAACCUGGGAGAAGAGACUAUGGAACCCACAACAUGAGAGAUAAUCAGAGAAAAGAAAUUGUCUGAUUCCAUGGGAUCUGAACACAUAGAAUGCAAGACCUGGGAGAAACCACAGAGCUGGCAGGAAUCAUAGAAGAAGGAAUAUUGGAGGGAGGAAAGGCUUUAGAACACCCAAUUUCAGGACUAGCCUUGUCUGUGAAGUCACACAGUGUCAGAGUUGGGAAAGCUCUUAGAAGACACAUCAGAGCUCAGAUGGUUCUGAGAAAAUGCAGUAUCAUUAAUGGGAACGAGUUUUGGUUUUGUACACAGAAUUCCAACUAAUGAGGAAAUUCAGGCAAAUUAUCACAACAGAGAUAAAGUACAUUUAGUGUAUGAGAUUCCACCUAUAUUUCAGUAUAAUUGAUAUUAGCACAAUGGUGAUCCUCAAUUAAAAGUUAUAUAUUGUAUCCCAGUCAAAGAGGCAAAGUGAACAUACCAGUGUUAAAGGAAGGAAGGAAAAAAGAAGGGAAGGAGGAAAUCAAAAUAACCAACAACACAUUUAUUCUAUAAAGUGUCUUGAAGGGUUAAGGCUGUUAGAGAUAUAAAAAUUAUUGUUAACGAAUGAUUAGUAUUCAUGGAGAAAAAUAAAGUGAACAGAAUUCAAAAUAGAGAAUUUGUGCUCUCAAAUAACUAUUGCUAAUUGAUCAAUAAACAUUUAUUAAGUACCCACAAUGUGCCAGGCAUUGUGAUGAAUGUUGAUACAGAAGGAAAAGAAUCUCCUCAAAAAGCUUACACUCUAAUUGGGGAGACAGUAGCAAGCAAAUAUAGGCAAAGGAAGAUAACCGAGGGAAUGCGCAGUAGGACAUAACUCGGAUGACUGAACAACUGAACUUCAUACUAAUAAAGACAUCUAAAUAAUUGGAGAAAUAUUAAUUGCUCAAGAGUAGGCCAAGGCAACAGGAUAAAAAUGACAGUAUCACCCAAAUUAAUUUACGUAUUCAGUGCCAGAACAAUCAAACUACUAAAGAAUUACUUUAUAGAGCUAGAGAAAAUUAUAACAAAAUUCAUCUAGAGGAAUAAAAGGUCAAGAAUAUCAGGGGAAUCAGUGAGAAAAAUCAGAAAGAAGGUGGCCUACUAGUACCAGAUCUCAAAUUAUACUCCAAAACUAUAAUCAUAAAAAAAAUUGAGUGUUUAACCGGAGGACAAGAUUAAGUAUAUAAUCUAGAGAAGUGAAUGAACAAAGUGACCUAGUAUUUGAUAAAUCUCAAGAUCCCAGCUAUUAGGGAAAAAAUUCAACAGCUGACAAAAACUUCUGAGAAAGUUAUAAAGUUGUCAGACAGAAACUAGUUAUAAAUGCAACAUCUCACACCAUAUACCAGUAUAAACCCAAACUGGGUACAUAAUUUAGUCAUAAAGUGUGAUAGGAUAAGUAAAUUAGGGGAGCAUAGAAACAAUUACCUGUGGGAAUAAUUCAUGACCAAACAAGAGAAAGAGAGGGACAUGGAAAUUAAAAAGGAAUGAUUCUGACAACAUAAAAAUUUUACAUGAACAAAACUAAUGCAGUCAAAAUUAGAAGAAAAACGAGAAGUGGUAGAGUGUGUGGUUUGUGCAGCAAGUCUCUGAUAAAAAUCUCAUUUCUCAAAUACAUAGGGAACUUAGCCAAACUUAUAAGAGCUACUCCUCAGUUGAUAAAUGGACAAAAAAAUAAGCUCCCUAGUUUUCAGAGGAAGAAAUCAAGGCUAUAGUUAAAUGAAAAAAUUCUCUAAAUCACAAAUAAUUAAAGAAGUGCAAAUUAAAACGACUCUGAGGUACCACCUAAUGCCCAUCAGAUUGGCCAAAAUGACAGAGAAGGAAUAUGAUAAUGCUGAAGGGAUGUGGCAAAACAGGCACAUUAAUGCACUGUUGGUAGAAUUGUGAACUAAUCCAAUCCUUCUGGAGAACGAUUUGGAACCAUUCUCAUGAAUCUAUUAAACUAUAUGUACCCUUUAACUCUUCGAAACCCUACAAAGUUUAUACGCCCAAAGAGAUUUUAAAAAAUGAUAAAAAAUCAUGUAUAAAACUAUUUAUAGUAUCCCUUUUUGUGAUGUAAAAAAUUGGAAACCAAGGGGAUACCCAUUAAUUGGAAAAUGGCUGAAAAUGUUAUAUGAAUCUGAUAGAAUACUAUUGUGCUAUAAGAAGUGACAAAGAGGUGGUUUCAGAAAAAACUUGAGAAGACAUUAUAAACUGAUACAAGGUGUAGUGAACAGAAGCAGGAGAAAGAGAUACACAGUGACCACAAUAUUGUAAAGAUAAUCAGUUGAAAAGACUUAACACUGAUAAUGCAAUGGCCCACCAGUUUCAAAGGAUUCAUCAUGAAAAAUGCUAUCCACUGCCAGAAAGAGCACUGAUGACUGAUGGGGUCAGGGCUAAAUGUGGGAGGGCUUUAGAAGACAGAAAGUUAAAGGUAGUUAAACCAAAAGAAUGGAAAUUACCAGAUUCUGUGGGAUUUGCAAAAAAUGCAGCAUCAGGAACCAGGAAAGCUGUGAAAAGAGAAUUUCAGAGAAUGCAGGAGACUUAGAAGAAGGACUAUAUGAACUCUUACAAUGUGAAAUUUAAGAACUAGCUUUGGUCAUAAAAUCAGUUUCAGAGCUGAGGGCUCUUGGAACAAGGAUUAACAAAGUUUGGCUGGGCCUGAGAACACGGGUUAUUGGUGCAAGUCUCAGGGGCCCAAAUUAUUAAAAAAGGCAAUUAAAUUUAAAGAUAUAUUUAUAAUAUGAAAUGUAGUAUUUAUGUUAAUAACUAUAAGAACAAUGGCGAAUAUCUGAAUUCAUACUCCUGUCCUGGAUUACACAAGUCAGAAAUUUGAAGAUACACUGCUAAAUAUGAAAUAAAAGAAAAAGAAAAGAACAUAGCUGACCAAAAUGUAAAUGUAUGCAGUGUCUUCACAUAAUAUAAUAAAAAACUAUAAUGGUACAAGUGUAAUAGAAGUAUAGUAAUAUUACUAUUAUUUUUAAUAGAUGGUAAUACUUAUGGGAGAAUAUUAUCAGGACAGAAAUCAUGAGAAACCACUUGUGACCUUAAUUAUAUUAUAAAUAAACAUGGCAUUUAACAUUGUCAAAAUGGUCAAAGAAAAGGGGGGAAAGAAACCCUGUAAUAUAAGAGAAGGGAAAUGCUAUUGAUAAUACAAUAAGGAAGAUGGCAGAGUCUUUUGAAGAUGUGAUAUAUGACUUGGAGGUAAAUUCCAAGAGAAUUUAUAGGAAGCAAGUUAAGACAUAGAAUGGAGAAUUUCCCCUGAUCUGAUGGCAGCCCAGAAGCCAGAUAAGUAGACUUAAUGUCCAACAUAGAAUGGAGAUGAUUUCAAACCAAUGUGGCUAGAGCUGGACAGGACCUUAAAGCCUAGAACAUCAGAUGUGGGAGGGACUUUAGAACAUACAAAAAAGAGCUGGUCAUGGGCAGGGAAUUGAAAUUCUCUGAAUCCAUGGGAUUGAAGCAAACAACUGUAUUGCCAAGAGGAACCACAAAAAGGGGCAUGUAAAAUCCACAAGGGAUGUUAGAGCCAGGAAAGCCUUUAGAACAUAUCAUUUCAAAAACAAGAUGUGGCCAAAAAUUUGUACAGGGUUGGAACUGGGAAGCUCUUAGAACAUGGAUUGUCAAAGCUCAGAUGUCCCAGAGAAUACAUAGUAUCAUUGCUGGAAAGGAGUUUUAUUUCUCUGAAAAGAGUUAGGCACACUUUCACAACCAAACCAAAUUGCAGGAUAUUUUUUUUGUUGUUCAGUUGUUUCAGUCAUGUCUGACUCCCUGUGACCCCAUUGGGCUUUUUUUUGGGGGGGGAAGAGAUUUUACAGAGGUUGGCCAUUUUCUUCUCCAGCUCAUUUCCAGAUGAGGAUACUGAGGCAAACAGAGUGAAGUGACUAGUCCAGGGUCACAUAGCUAGUAAGUGUCUGAGGCUAGAUUUGAAUUCAGGAAGAUAAAUCUUCCCGGAUAACUUAUGUUCAUUUAAAUUAAAACUCAUGUCCUGUGCCAGCCAGUGAAAGGUAAACAUAAAAUGCUGGUGUGGUACUAAUUUUUAAAGGAAAGGAGAACAAACAAAGCAGUCAUUUCAGGCAAUGCCUUGAAGCAUUAAGGCUGCUAUAGAUCUCACUGUUUCAUUACAGAAUAAUAAGUAUUUCUUGAAAAAGAAAAGGAAGCACCCAGAAUUUAAAAGGGAAACAAUCUGUGCUCUCAACAGAUUGUAUUGGAAAUACUUAUAUGCAACUUAAUAUAAUGAAAUUGGAAAAAAUUAAGUAAAAAGGAAAAAUAACCAACCUUAAAUGAUCAGAGGAGGGAAGAGACAUAACUGAGAAGGAACAUCAAUAAUAGUGUCUGGCUCAGACAGCCCUUUUAGGAUAAUUAUAUUGGAGAUUGGCUAGAGAUCAGAAUUGAGACUUCCAGGAUCAGGGCGACAGUCCUGGCUCCAAAUGUGAAAAGUAGGCAUUGCUGUGAAAGCUAGAAUAUCAGACAUGGGACAGAAUGUAGAACAGUAUGAAUGGACUUGGAAGGGAUUCAGAAUCCAGAGUGCCUGAGCUGGAUGAGGGUAUGGAACCUGGAAUGUCAAAUGUGGAAGGGACGUUAGAACACAGAGAGAGGUGGUCAGUGCGAGGGAGCAGAAAUUGUCUAACUCUGUGGGAUGUGAGCAUACGGCAUGUAGAGGAGAGAAUGUUGGAGCAGGCAGGGCAUGUCAAAGCCAGGAAAGUCCUUGGGAUAUGCAAUGUCAGGACAAGCUUUGGCCAUAAAACCAUAUAAUGUCAAAGCUGGAAGGGCUCUUAGAACAUGGAUCAUCAGAGCUCAGAUGGUCCAGAGAAAACAUGGUGUUAGUGCUGGGAACUUGUUUUAUGAGGAAGGGCAGGGAACGUGAAUACAGUCAAACAAAGUAAAUGUAGCGGGGAUGAUCCCAUAUACAUGUCAGUGUAACAAAUAUUAGCACAAUGGGAAUCUUCAAAAUCAAAACGCAUGUCAAAGAUGAAAAGCAAACAUAUAGUGACAAAUCAAGAGUGAAGGAAAAAGUGCAACAACAACAACAACAAAAACAACACAGUUAUUACUUGUAGUACUUUGAACAGUUGAACCUGAUGUGGAGAUCACUAUUAAUAUUAGAAAAUGGUCAAUACAUAUUGAAAAAAUACAGUACAUAUUCUUAGCUAUGUGACCCUGCAAUUCUGUUUUAGAAUUGAUAUUAAGACAGAAGGCAAGGGUUUAAAAAGAAAGAAAGAAAAAAUACAGUAAAUAUAAAGAAGUCAGAAGGGAAAAUUGUAUAAUCCCAAAUAAUUGCUAAUUUGUAUAAGUAAUUUCAUAUACUAAAACUGAAGAAAUAAUUGAAAGGGAGAAAACAAAGCCAGAAUAUAAAAGCCAAGAAGGUCUCUUAAGCUUAAAAUGACAGGCAGAGGGUCUGCAGAAAAUUAAAUGUAUGACUUGGAGAUGCUGUUCCAGAGAAUGGUUUUGGACUCCAUUCAAGACUCUGAAGAGCAGAACUAAUUAAUGACAUUAGACCUGAUAACGAGACUUAGGAAAUAUGUCCAACAUAGCAUGUCUGAGCCUAGAGGCAAUUUAGCAUCCGUAGGGUCUGAGGUGGGUGAGGCCCUCCAGUCUAUAAUAUCAAAUGUAGGAGGGACUUCAGAACACAGAAAAGGAAUGCUGGUCAGAGGCAAAGAGCUGAGACUGUUGUAUUCCAUAGGAUCUUAACAAACAGAAUGGCUGACCCAAGAGAAGCCCCAGGGUAGGGAAUGAAAAAGCUGCAGAGAAAGUUAGAAUAAUUGACAUCAGAGCCAGGAAAGCCCUUAGAGCACAUCCCUUUGAAAUUAGCUGUUGCCAUAAAACCACUCCGGGUCAGAGUCUUUUAGAACUUUAAGAACACAGCUUGGAAAACCCAGAAAAAAACAGUAUUAUUGCUGGGAAUAAGUCUUAUUUCUGGGUUCAGAUCUCCACCUUGUGUGGAAGGGCAGGCAAACUGAUCUGACAAAAUAAAUUCUGUUUAGGGUCAAUGAUCUCACAUAUAUGAUAAUACAAGAGAUUUCAGCUCAAUGGGGAUACUCUAGAUCAAAAGUCAUGUGCUGUAUUAGCUAGUAAGAGAUGAAAGGAAACCUACGAUGCCAAAUCUAUUUUAAUCAAAACAAAAAAGGAAAAGAGAAAAUACAGUUAUAGCUUACUGUACCUUGAAUAAUUAUAGCUGCUUUAUUAUUGUUUCAUUUUAUUUUUAAUAUUCUUUUUAAAAAAGAUCUUGAGUUCUGAAUUCUCUUCCUCCCUCUCACUCCUCCUCCACCCUUUGGGAAUACAAGCAUUAUGAUAUCAAUCAUAUGUGUGAAGUGAUGCAAAACAUUUCCAUAAAAGCCAUAUCACAAAAAAUAAGCAAGAAAAAUAAUAUAAGUGAGAAAAUUAUGCUUCAUCUUGUUCUCAGAAUUCAUCAGUUCUCCCUCUGGAGGAGGAUAGAAUUUUUUCCUCAUGAGUGCUUUGGAAAUGUAAGUCCUUUGAUCACUGUCAUGAUCAAAGUAGCCAAGGCCAUCAUUAGGACAUUGCUGUUAGUGUGCCCAAUGAUCUCCCAGUUCUGUUCAUUUUUGUGUUGUUCCAGAGACCAGAAAUUGUUGGGCGGUGAACACACACCGCAUGUAGGGCCUGGGGGAAGCUAUAGGGAGAAUGUCAGAGCCAGGAAAGCCCUUAGAACAUACAAUGUCAGGAUAAGCUUUGCCCACCAAACCCCAUUGUCAGAGCCAAGAAGACUCUUAGAACAAAGAUGAGGAGAGGUCAGAUGGGCCAGAGAACAUGCAACAUCAUUGCUGAGGAGUCUUGUUUAUGUGCUCAGGGCUCCAAGUUACAGAGAAAAUAAGUUAAAUGUAGACAAUAUUUUCAAAAGUAUUUUAUGUUAUUAAAUACAAGGUAUAUGGAAAUAUAAUACCAGUAAGCACAAUGAAGAUCCUCUGAAUUAAAAAUCACGUCUUGAAUCAUACAACCAAAUUGGAAGUAUGAACAUAUCAUUCCUAAAUUUAAACCAAAAAAUUGAGGUGGGGGGAGGGAUGACAAAAAAAGCAAUUGCCUGCAGUGCUUUCUAGGCCAAAGGCUGUUGUAUAUAUUACUUGCUGGUAGUGGAUGGGCCAUAUAUGUCAAGAAAAAAAGGUAACACAGUAUUCACAAGCAAAACAUUGUGAUUUAAAAUAAUUGUAUUGUAAUAACCAUAUGCCAUCUAAUACAUUAAAACUGCUUAAAUGAGAGACAAGAAAAAAAUGUAACCUAUCAGGUGACAGAAAGGUUUUUGGAGACAAAAUUCCCAACCUGGGAAGAUCUUUGGAAAUUAGGAUGUCUGUGUCAGAGGUACCUUUCAAGGGCAAAUAUUGGACAGAGCUUAGAAUAGAAAUUUUCUGUGCUGGGAUGUCAGUCCAGGCUUGAAAGAGAAGAAUAGGGAGUUGACAUAGUAUCCAGGAUAUGAGACCUGAGACGGUACAUUCAACAUAGAAUUUCUGAGCUUGGACGCUAUUUAGAAUCAAUCAGUGUGGGUCUGCACUAGAUGGGGCCCUCCAACUUGGAAUAUCAAAUUUGGGAGGAGGGACUUUGGGACACAUAAAAUGAAGAGAUGGUCAGAGAACAGAAAUUAUCUGAUUCUAUGGGAGAUGAGCACAUAGAAUGUAAGAUCUGGGAGAAACCACAGAAAAGGGAAGGUCAGUGCAGGAAAGUCAUAAAUAAGAAGGAAAGUGAUCCAUGUUAGCCCCUCAGAACUUGAUCACCAUUAGAGCCAUUAAAGGGAAUCUACUUAAGCAAGGAACAUGGCUGUGACUGUCAGGUUGGGAUAAUCUCAAGAAAAGAAAAGAAGGGUGAGAAAGAGGGAUGCACUGGGAGAAUUAUAUUACUAAUAAAUAUAUGGCAUUUAAUAUACUAAAACUGAUUAGGUGAAAAGGAAAACAACCCUUAGAAUACCAGAGAAGACAGAUGCUAUUGAAUAUAAAAUAACUAGGAUUGGUUGGGUCUUUUAGAAAUAAGAAUGCCUAACUUGGAGGAGUCUUCCAUGAGAGCAAAUAAGAAGGUCAGAACCUAGAAUGGAGAAUUUCCAUGCUGGAAUGGCAAUCCAGGCUCUCAAAUUCAGAAGUGGGAGUUAAUAUAAUACCUAGAAUAUGAGACUUGCUUGAGAAGAUAUGUCCGACAUAGAAUGUCUGAGCUUGAGGGCAACUAAGAAAUAAUGAGUUCUGAGCUGGAUGGGGCCCUGGAAUCUGGCAUAUCCAAUGUGGGAGGGACUUUAGAACACAGAAAGUUAGAAAUAGUAAGCACCAGAGAAUAGAAAGUAUGUGAUGCUAUGUGAUGCAUGUCCACACAGAAUAUCAGGCCUGAGAAAGGUUACAGAGAAUAUAAGGUCAGAGCAGGCAAGAGACUUAGAAAAAGGAAUAUCAGAGGCAGGAAAGCCCUUAGAACAUAUAAUUUCAAUACUAGUUGUGGUCAUACACAGUGUCACAGUUGAGAGGGCAUGAAUUAUCAGUGCUCAAAUUGUCCUAAGAAAAAACAAAACCAAUUCUGGGAACAAAUUUAUUUCCAGACUCAACUUAUGAGGAAGGACAGGCAAAUAUCAACAAAAAAUUGUAAAGGUUUAUUUAGGGUAAGAGCCACCUAAUAUUACGUAAAAAUUUAUAUCAGCAAAAUGGUAACACGCCCAAGUACAAAUCAGGUCUAGCAUCACUCAAAGAUGAAAGAUGAACAUACAGUAUUUAAUCUCCUUCUAAUAAAAAAGAAAGAAGGAAAAGGAAAGGAAAGGAAAAAAUAACAGACAGUGAUUGCAUUUAGUGUCUUAAAGAGUAAAAAUUGUAAUAGAUAGUAUAAUUGCUGGUUGGAUCAAUAUUUAUUGAAAAAAUAAAGGACAAGGAAUUCAAAAGUAAAACAAUUUGUGUUCUCACAUGAUUGUAUUGCUUAUACAUACAGAUAGUUUAAUAUCAUAAAACUGAAGAAAUAAGUGAAAAGGGAGGAAAGCAAAAUUAGAAUAUCAGCAGAAGAAGGGAAUUUUCACCAGAAAAAUGACAUGGCUGAAAAGGUACAUAAACAAUACUGUCUGACUUGGAGGACCUUUUCAAGACAAUUUAUUGGAGAUUGGAUAGAGUUUGCUCUGGGAAUAGCGGUGCCAGCUAUAUGUGUGAAAAGCAGAAGAUGACAAAAAGCCAGAACAUUAGACCUAAGAGAGAAUGUAGAAUACAGAAUGAAUGGGUUUGGAGGCAACUUAGAGCCAAGAGUGGCUGAGCUAGAAGAGCCCUUUGAACCUGGACUAUCCAAUAGAGGAGGGACUGUAGAACAGAGAAAGUUAGAAAUGAUUAGAGCUAAAGAACAGCAAGUAUCUGAAAUUCCAUGUGAUGUAGGCACACAGGAGGGAGGGUCUGGGAGCAACCACAGAGAAGGGAAUGUUGGAGUAGGCAGAGCAUUUAGAAGAAAGGAUAUCAGAGCCAAGCCCGUUAGAACAUGCAAUUUCGAAAAUCAGUGUCAGAGCUGGGAGGGCUCUUAAAAUAAAGGUUACCAAGGCUUCAAUGGUCUUGAAAACAGAUAAUAUUCGUAUUGGGAAGGAAUCUUGUCAAUGUACUCAGGUGUCCAAGUCAUGGGGAAAAGUAAAUUCAAUUUAAAAAAAAAACACUGAAAAAAGAUUAUUUAUGAUUUAUAAGGCAACAUAUAUUUGAGUAUAAUUACAAUAAGCAUAUGGUGAUCCUCUGAAGAAAUAGCCCAACCCAAUUCAUGCCCUGAGUCCUAUAGGCAAAAAGAAAUUUCAAACAUUCAGUGCCUAAUCAGAAUUUAAGCAAAAAAAAAAAAUGGAAAAAAUUGGGAAAGUAAUUGCAUGUGUUGUUUUCAUGGAGAAAAGCUGCUGUACAUAUUAUUGUUAAUUAAUGGGCUAUAUUUAUUGGUGGUGAAAAGAACACAGGAUUCACAGAGGAAACAAUUUGUGAAUUCAAAUAAUUAUACUGCUAAUACACACAAGCCAGUUAAUAUACUAACUAUACGAAUGUACUAAAACUGACUAAAUAAA